rnacentral:lncRNA from 1 species
GGGGACUGACCUAUGUCCCUACUGCCCCGACUCACCGGAAGACUUGGAACACCUCUUCUUCACCUACCCCCGCAUCUCUGCCUUCUGGGCUGCGGUCAACCCUGGAGCGCCUCGUCAAGGACUGCUCGAGCUGAGUGACACCGUCCCCCUACCCUCCGAGAAGCUCUGCCACACAGCCUCUCUAUUGCUAUGGGUCAUCUGAAAAAGCCGCAACCAGAUGGUGUUCUGCGCCGCCAUGGUGGCCGAGGUGGCUAGCCUUGUGUGGCUAUGGGCCAUCAGGGCUCCCUGGUGUCUGGACCUCACCCCCUAGAUGAUUGGUGCUCCACCAUUUUUAUGUAAUUUCUGCUUUUGAGUGAUUUGCUCCCCACUCUUGUGUACUCCGCGCCGACGUUAUAAACACCAUCGGGUGGGCGAUCUCCGCCCACCGUUGCCGCCUAAAAAAACCAGGUAACACACGUAUGUGGUAAAAUGACGGAUUGACUAAUACGAGAGACGGUGCUCUUGCUGGCACGCAGCACAUGUGUCGUGCGUGCGGCGUUUGGUUCCCUUUGCUUAUUUUUAGCACGUGUCACAUCGAAUGUUUAGAUACUAAUUAAGAGUAUUAAACGUAGACUAUUUACAAAACUCAUUACAUAAGUGGAGGCUAAACGGCGAGACGAAUCUAUUAAGCCUAAUUAAUCCAUCAUUAGCAAAUGUUUACUGUAGCAACACAUUGUCAAAUUAUGGAGUAAUUAGGCCAAAUAGAUUCGUCUCGCCGUUUAGCCUCCACUUAUGUAAUGGGUUUUGUAAAUAAUCUACGUUUAAUACUCCUAAUUAGUAUCUAAAUAUUCGAUGUGACGGGUGCUAAAAAUAAGUUAGGGGAACCAAACCAGGUGGAAUUAGCUUCACGCUCAUGCUCAAUGCUCUUAUUAGAGUCAGUUUCGACACCUGAUGAAUGCUACCGUAUGAAUUUUGCCACCGAUCAUUUCCGUCCAGUUCCUCUCGGAUUCUUUUUUGAGUUUGCAAGUUUUGUGCUCAAAGCUCUACUAGCUUGGUACCACGAGAGCUCCCGGGUCAUUCAGUAAGCAGCCUCGGACAGUACUACUCUUCGGUGCAACGGAAAGAAAAAACCAAAUGCACGAAGUACAAACACGCGCAACGCGCUCGCUUCGUGCACAAGCUUAAUUGACCCUGUUAAAUUGUUAGCUAAGCUCUCAAGGGAUCGAUUGAGCUACUAGCAUGAUUUCCUCGUUUAGUAGAGUAGCAGUUCUGAUGGAAUGGAAGACUCGUGUGGAAGAGAACAAAUCAAGUUGCUUCGUACUGGCAAAAGGGCCUGUUCGCUUCAGCUUAUUCAGCCGGCUUAUCAGCCACCAAACAGUGUUUUCCUCUCACAACAAAUCAGCCGUUUCAGCUUUUCAGCCGGCUUAUAAGCUGAAGCGAACAGACCCAAAAGGCCAAUUAAUCACGAGGUUGUGCAAGGGAAAGGAAGCCUGUCAUCGGAAUCGUUAUGCCUACGCGAACCGAGAGUUCAGAUAAACGCACCAGGUUCGGGUCCUAAUUAGCCCCGCUAAUAAGUUGAAACCCGGCCCAAACUGCUUUAAAUUAACUCAUUCCCCCAUCCCGCCCCGUCCUAUAAUUUUAUUAUCUAAACCCAACCCUACUCGCUCCACCAAUUGAUAUAACCUAUGGAUUUGAUAUGUGAAAUUAUGAACAUAUGGGCCCCGCAUAAAGAGUCAGACCCUAAAACGAAAACCUCACAUUAACACCUUAAAAUUUUAGAGAAAUUAAUCGAAAUUUGUUGGAGAUGACUCAGUUUGACGGUCCGCUAUUUUAUGCAAAUUGUCGCGGCUGGACUUUAGAUGGGCCUCGCGUCCAAAGCUAGACCGUAAAACUAAACCUCGCGUUCACACUUAAAAUUUAAAAUUUAAUCGUCGAAAUUUGUUGGAGAUGACUCAGUUUGAUAGUCCUUUCCUUUGUGCAAAUAGUAUGAACUAAAUCUACAUAUGGGUCCCAUGUCAAGAGCUGAACAGUUAAACCCAUACAGACUGAAAGAAAAAAGAACCACUUCCAACCCGCACUCGUGAUAUACCCAACUCAUUAGAUGCUAAAACCCAUUUUAACCGAUUCAAACACACCCCACGUCACAACCCAUCCCAAAAACCAUUUCAACCCGCUCCAUUAGCAGGUAACCUGGAGUAUAUCCUCUUCUCAAACAUAGAAAGGGAGAAAAUAGAAACUGCUGGCUCGUAACUCGUAUAGUCCGAGAACUAGGCCCCAGGAGCUGUGCGUAGCCGUACACAAGCCGCCAGUACGGAAUGAAUAUACGGAGUGGAGAUGCUAGUCCAGGCCUCCAGGGUGAUGCGGCGGCAGAAGCGGCGACUGGCGUGGCAAGGCGGCAAAGCUCACCGUGCGACAGGUAGCGCAUUUGGCCAAAAGUCCAAACGUUUCACGGCGCCUGGAAAAGUGCCCUUCAGAUGGCCCCCGACGCGUCAGGCAUGCACGGCACUCGGGCAGCACGGCAAAGUCGGCACUUGGCACACGGGCGCGCUCGGGCCGAGAAGGCGGACGCGCGCGGGCGCCGCCCCCGCUUCCAAGCAGGCGGGAAGGAAGCCACCAGGAGUCCAGGACGGCCGCGAUGCGGGCACUGCCGGCGCGCUCUGACCUCAUGGCUCGUGCAACCGAUGCCAGCAUGUAUGGAACCGCGCCGGGGGUCUGGCUCGCCCUCGCACCGCCGCGCCGGCGCCGCUACACUACACGCGUGAAUAAAGUAAGAAGGUACUGUCGCGGUGCUGCGAGGCGGCGACACCUACGCGGGGUUAGUUGCCGCCCUAUCCGUCGGGCCGUCCCUGGUUCCCUGAAUCCCUGCCCACGCCGAGUAGGUCUUGGCGAUCGGGUGAUAGAUUGGUUUGGUUUGUGUUGCAGCAAAUCAGGAGGCACAUGCCCAGACUCGAAUCGUUGUCCCGUGGCAAAUUUUGGAGCGUGUGGCGUCUCCCACGUGUCGACAAGUAUAAUACACCAGUGACGCAAUAAUGGAUUAUUGUUAUGGAGUUGGAACGAGUUUUCACAAUUUCCAUGUGCUUGCUCUCUUCUCUUGCGUUCGAUACGGCGGCUCGUGAGUCGUGAUUAUAGAAGAGAAGGGACCGCGCGCGUGUUGCCAUGCGAAGUAAUGAAAUGGCCGGUCCGGUCGAUGGUGAUGACAACCGUACUAUGCGGGGCUACCACCAGGCCCCGGUGCUACGGGCGAAAAGUGCAAAACAAACAGUUCAAUAUGAGAGUUUCUGUGCGGAUGAAAUUUCCCCGUUGCACACGCUAUUUGUCUUCACACCGAACGGUAUUCGCAACACAGCUGGAUCACAGCCUUCCCCAGUUUCCCCUUGAGCUUACAAGACGCCUACGUGUGCAUGAGCUUUAUUCGAUCCAGCCGACUCCGCGGCCUCUCUAUCUACAGCUGACCGGAUUAACGGCUGCUUGUCUCGUCACAAGCAAGCGCGAUCUAAACCAAUUUUAACCGGGCUAAACCAAUGCAAAGUGCUCAUGUUUAGUUGGGUGACUAAAAAUAUCCCAGUUUGCUAUGCUCAUGUUUGAUUAGCUGCACAAGGUGAUAAGAUGGCCCUAUAUUCGCUAGAGGUGAAAUUACCACCGUCCCAUCCUCUCCGGUCCUCUCCUUCCUCCCCCUCAUCUACUACUCCUCCUAAUCCCCAACCCUGAUGGUGCGCUGCCGCAUCACCGCCCUCCUCGUGGUGUCGCUCCUGCUCCCGCUCGCCCGCCCGGACUCCUCCUCCCUUCCGCCGCCACCACCAACACCUCGUACGACGAGCUCCGCCUCCGGGGCUACCCUCGGAGCCUGCUCCUGGUAGAGUGUAGCUAUCAAGCCUCCCAAAAUUGGGUGAUGGACCGAUUCAUGUCCGCAUUGAGCUUCGCCACAGUCGGAUAAACCUCAAGCAUGGUCGAAUCGAGCUCCAGCGCCGCCCGCGGGCCCACAUCACCGCUCGCCUGCUCCCUCCGGUUGGGGUCGUCAGCCCGCCAGACCGCUGGCUAGGCGUCCACCGCCAUGAGCCGCGCCUCACCGUCGCACCCCCGCCACCGCCGCAAGCCAGCCGGGCGGCACAUGCCCCACCCGCUUCGCCCACGGUACCUCUGUCCCGGUUAGCAACGCGUUGAGCUUUGAUGCGCCAAGGACUUCCGGAGGCCGCCGCCGUCGCGGCUGAUGGCAGGGCGUAGGUGCCCGCGCAGGUCCGUUGGGAAUGUGAGGUACGCGGUGUAUUCCAGCAGGGAAGACAAGAGGGUGAGGCGACUCUGCCAACUUGAACCACCGAGGCUUGUACGAGCCUACGUUAGUGGAAACGCACGCUCGCUAUGUUCCCAGGAAUCCAGGCAACGCCCCCUCUUUUGCACUACUGAAGCUAGGCUUAGGAGCAUCCAAUCACAUGCAUGCUACAUUACCGAAGCCUAUUCGAGGAACCAAUCACUACUCGUAGGGGGUGUUUGGUUCCACGGACUAUAAUCUCUGUCACAUCGAAUGUUUAGAUACUAAUUAGGAGUAUUAAAUAUAGACUAAUUACAAAACCAAUUGCACGGAUGGAGGCUAAUUCACGAGACGAAUCUAUUAAACCUAAUUAAUUCAUGAUUAGCACAUAUUUACUGUAGCAUCACAUUAUCAAAUCAUGGACUAAUUAAGCUUAAUAGAUUUGUCUCGCGAUUUAGUCUCCAUCUGUACAAUUGAUUUUAUAAUUAGUUAAUUUAAUCCUUCUAAUUAGUAUCUUGAUGUGACAGGAAGCGAACAUUAGUCCGUUCAACCAAACACCCUUUUCGAUCCAGCCGAUUCCGCGGCCCGACCCGAUUAACGGCUGCUUGUCUCACAAGCAAGUGCGAUCUCGGCAAAUCCGGCGGACCCUGGCCCUCUUCGAGAAUUUUCGCUAAAUCAUGUGUAAACCCGGGAAAAAAGUUGCAACAACUCGCGCACACGCACACGGAACGCAACCGACACCAUCCCCAAGAAAAGAAACGAACACCGCGUGCAUCACGAGUGACGUGUAGCGGGGCCGAGGCGGAGGCGCCUCCCGUCCCAAGCUUAACAGAGCAGGCGCCGCGCGAGUCAGAGGCUCAGAGCCCCCUUCCCUUCCAGAAGGUCGCCUCCCGCUACCGGUUUCCUCCUAUUUAUACGCCGCUCCCACCUCCCCAACCAACUAGCAGUUGCUUCCCUCCCUUUCUCCGAACCCCCAAUCGCAAAGAAAUCGAGCAGCGGACAAACGAACAUGCGGGCCAUGGCAGAGGACAGGCCGGGUGGCCGCCGCCAGGAGCGAGCCACCGCGGACCUUCCGAUUCCAAGAGACGACGGUGGCUCUGUGGCGUCCGACGACGAGGACUCCGACGGCGAGUUCGAGUUCCCCUUCGUGAGCCGGGAGCCGGCGGCGGCGGGCGGGGGCGCCGCGGCGGCGGACGAGCUCUUUGCGGGCGGCCGCAUCCGGGCGUUCUACCCGGUGUUCGGCCGGGUGCUGGACGACGCCGCCGCGGCGCCGGCGCCGAGCUCGAGGGCGCCGCUGGGGCGGCUGUUCCAGCUGGAGCAGGCGCGAACCUCCUCCGUCGCGUCCACGUCCUCCUCGUCGUCUUCGUCGUCGGCGUCGACGGCGGACGCUGAAGCGAGGCUCGACGGCGCGCCGCCCGACAGCUACUGCCUCUGGACGCCCGGGUCGUCGCCGGCGUCCUCGCCCUCGCGGCCGCCGCGGAAGAGCGGGUCGACGGGCUCCAUCGCGCGGUGGCGCCGCAUCGGGGAGCUCGUCGUCGGCCGCAGCCACAGUGACGGGAAGCAGAAAUUCCUCUUCCUCUCCGCGCCGCCGUCACCGGCCAGGGACAGGGACCACCACCAGUCCCCCGCCGGCUCCAAGUCGAAGCCGCCAGCGAAAGGAAGUAAAGCCGCAACCGCCGCCGCCGCCACCGAGCUCGACACGGUCGCCGCGGGGCGGCGGAUGUCGUACGGCGGCGGCAAGGCGUCCCCCGGGGGGCGGCGGACGUUCCUGCCGUACCGGCAGGACCUCGUGGGGCUGUUCGCCAACGCCCGUUCUGAGCCCCGACGCGCCGAACCGUCGCCGCCGUGGAGGACCCGUUCCAAACAGUGAGAUUCAAGUUUGAAUCCGGGAUUUGAAAUUUCAGACGAUUUGACCUGGUGAUCCCCUGCAACCCUUCUUUGUGAAGACCAGUUUUAGCAAUUUAGCAUACGUGUGGGGUUAAAGCGGCCAAGCAGGUCAAAAAGAACAAGUGUGAAAGUCAGACAAAGCAGGGGAAAUGUGAGCCUUCCUUUUCGGAUUCGUCGCGGCAAUGAGGUCCGAAGUCGGUGGCAGCCACUUGAAAUUUGUGAUGAAGGUGGUAGGCGAGUACAGUACUAUGGAGAAGUUGAAAAAAAGUUCGUAACUUUAUAUAUGUGACUUUGUACAUACGGUGUAUAUAGGGAGUCCUCCCCCUAAAGUUUAGCUCCUGUUAUAUCGAAUGUUUAGAUACUAAUUAGAAGUAUUAAAUAUAGACUAUUUACAAAACCCACUAUACAGAUGGAGGCUAAACGGCGAGACGAAUCUAUUAAGCCUAAUUAAUAAUUAGUUUUCGAAUAUUCGAUGUGACACGGACUAAAUUUUAGCUCGAGGAACUAAACUAAACGCCCGUGUAUAUUAGCGAAGAAUUCACCUUCCCUUGUUAGCAAUCCCUUCCAACCAGUUUUGAUUUUCAGCAAAGCAGGUCGCCAGCCCAGGCAGCAGCGCCAGCCGCGGACGCCUGAGAUCGCUGCCUUCGAGGCAAGUUUGGCAGGACUCAAAGCAAACAGGCCCAAGUUUUUUUUAAAAAAAAGCAAACAGGCCCAUGCAUCAUCCAACGGCUAUUUAAAAAAAAAAACCCCGAGAGAUCAGAAAAACUAACUGCGAUUUGACCGAUUUUCAGGCCUCAAUAUUAUGUUUGGUUCGUAUCAUAUCGGAUAUUUAGAUAAACUAAUUGCAUAAAUGAAGACUAAUUUGCGAGACGAAUCUAUUAAGCCUAAUUACGCCAUGAUUUAAUAAUGUAAUGCUACAGUAACAUGUGCUAAUGAUGGAUUAAUUAGAUUUAAUAGAUUCGUCUCACGAAUUAACCUCCAUAUGUGUAAUUAGUUUUAUAAUUAGCUCAUAUUUAGUCCUCCUAAUUAGUCUUCAAAUAUUCGAUGUGAUAUAAAUUUUAGUCCGGACUAAAGAUCAAACAUCCCCUUAUUUUUGCCCACUACAGAGCUGCUAACGCAGUAUGGUUUCAAUUACCAAAACUUUCCCCUUUUUUUUCACCUGAACAGAGAUCGUUUACCGAAUUCUUUUCAUCACCUAGCGUUUGAGUUGACCGCCUGCCCGCGCGCAGACCGUAAGUUGCCGGGAGCAGAGGGAAGACCGUAUGGAAGAGGGUCAAUGCGUUGCCGGUGCAGAGCCACUUGCUAACAGAGUACUCCUCCUCAUUACGUACUCCAGCUCUUAAUCACGCAAUUAGCCAAUAGCCACUCCACGAGCUUGUUGCGCGCAAGCUGGCAUGCAGACGUGCGCACGUACGCUUUGGACCGGUCAGCUUGGCGCUGACACUCCCAUCCGAUCCAACUACACAAGCAGAGCCUGUCCCUGGGUUGCAUUGCGUUCGGUAGUUUCAGUCAGAAUUCAGAUACAGGUUAGGUUUGUGGUAAGGUUUCGUUGUGGCUGGUGCCGGUAGAAACUCCAAAAUGACGGAAAGGGAGCAAGCUAGCUGCACCGGAAUUUUUACCAGGACCUGGCGUUAGUCAACCGAGUGAACGGGCGGAUUGCUAGAGAUCGGGGAUGACACGAUCGAGCUUUUAAUUCAGUGCCUUUUUCUCGCGCGCGUCAGAUCAAUCUCGCGGAUUGGUUCAACGGCGGGGACCUGUGGCUCCACGCGUUCGCACAGACAGUGCCUGCCUCGGACAGGAACACUGGUCGUCUCCCGCAUUUUACACCAGGACACCGGGGAGGCAGCAAACGCGUCAAAGCUAAUCCGGUAAUCCCUCGUCGUGCCAGUUCCCUUCUUGUGCAGUAAUAACUGGAGCAGCGAGUAUACGUACGAACUCGGUGCCACGCGAUGUGAGAGAUGUUCAGCUUUCAGACUCACCUAACUGCAACACUGUGUUUGGUGUGAUUAGUUGCAGGCUAUGUAAAAAAGGGGACAACUCGACGGUAAAAUACACAAGUCAACAACUAAAUUUUGCGAGUUAGUUCUUGCGUCUUGACCGACACAGGUCAGCCGGUGUUGUUUUUAACCUCCCAACCGGGAGGGUGUCGAAACAGCUAAUGUGGGCGAACAACACUCGUCGGAGCACGUAAAACAAAAUGCCCGGACUGAGCAUCCGACUCACCACAUCUUGACCUUUUUAAUCUCGACGGAGCUAUCCCAUGUCUUGUUGGGGAAUGAGCAUGUGCGCUUUCACCUACCUCCUACUGCAUUUUUGUGUUCCUUGAGGAUGGAGCAGUCCACGACAUAUUUGAACUUCCUUCUUGUCCUGACCUGCAUAACCUAACACAGCAGACGUAUGCACCAGGUUACUCUGGGCUGAUUGGUUCGCAGCACGCCCCCUCGUCCAGACUCCACGCGUGCGAUCUUAGCUUGAUUGGUUAGGUAUUGGGCUUGAUCCGCAGCAUGCAAAAAGUUCCCCGAGCCUGACUUCCAGGGUGCAGCUAGAACCUUCGUCUCCUUGGAGCCUGGCUGGCUGGAUGCGGCGUCGAACACGCGGGUAAGCGCAUGUAAGAGAAAAAUAGGUACAUACAUGUAACCAAUCAAAAUCUCCCUAUAACCUGACUGACACGAACCAAGCAACCAAUCAUACACCUCUUGUGCGCAAUAAGCCUGUCCUAGCCGGCCUGGCUCCCUCGUACGAGGUGGGCUACGCUGAGAAGAGAAUCAAUCAAACCCUCUGAAAUCUGAGCACUGGUCGGGGAAGGAGCGGUGUUGGAGAGCUGCCGGACGAGAAGUGACAGCAGUGGAUUCUUAAUUCCUUGGUCUUACGUCGCUGUUUCGGUUGUUUAUGGAUUUGACGUUAGUCACAAGUACAUUUUAAACUGGAAGCACUCACUAGAGCAAACCCUAUUUAUCAAGUCGUCAGCCGAAGUUACAGUUGCCAAUCUAGUUUGGGCCGGUUUGGGGUUGAACUCAACUACAUUGGGCUUUUCUAGGCCUUCAGUGGGUUGGGCUAUACUCCAGGGGAAAAAAAACAAAAAUGAGUGGGAAUACUAAAGCCCUUAUGCACAUCAGCAUGGUGUCCUUUUCGCAGUUGUGUACUUGACAAAAAUCAUUUUUUAAACGAUGUACUUGACAAAAUCUUGCAGUUUCUAUAAUGUUUAUGCCUCUUCUUGCUUCUGCCCAGCAGUUCCUUCAUUGUAAGUUUUUCGAGAUGAAUUGUUUAGAAGUUCACCUCAAAACCAAGAGCUCUUUUAUACUCUCUCUAUUUCAUAGAUCGUUUUGGUUUUCCUAAUUUCAUACGUUUUGCUAUGUAUCUAGACAUAACCUAUAGGUAGAUGCAUAGAAAAAAAUCUGUAUCUAGAAAAGCUAAAAUGACCUACAAUUUGGGAUAGAGGGAGUAGUUGUUUAUAGGUACCAACAUUUACUUUGAGGUACUUUUUUCUCCUUUUUUCACUCUUGAUUUGGAAAAGACAAUUAAAAAAAUUAAAUUUAUGGCUCCCCACACAUUGUGUGUGGUGGUCGGCGACACCGAGAAGACAUUCAUCCUUCUUGAUCCUGUCAUCCAAGGCUCAUGGAGGAUCUCGACAUGGUAUCAAAAUCCAACCCCACCCACCACCACCACCACCAUCAUCAUCACCAAUCGCUGACCUCACCUUUUCUCCUAGUCCCCUCUGAUUGGGCGCGGUGUUGACCUCCACCUCCACAGGUUGAGGCCCCUCUUCAUACUAAUCUGAGAUUAGGCUCAAGUGACACGCUUGUUCCAAAUUUGGCGAUCAAUUUUUGUUAUUUUAUAGUAGCCUACGUGGUGUAGUAGAUGCCUGACUUGGACCUGUCAGAUGUUAUUGCUCCUAAUCUAAGGGUGGAAUUAGCUUUUACUAACGAUAUGUCAUAUCCUUUUGCAGUGCAGUUUGAUGCUAUCCUCAGUCAUCUCAAAUCAUUAAGCAGUGGUUAUUUUUUUACCAACAAAUGUUGGUAACAUGAAUUUUAACUGUUUCAAAAUCACAAUUCAUAUAGAAUUCAUAAUCUUUGAUUUGUUUUGAGAGCUCAGUCUACCAUGCUUAGAAUGAGCUAUUUUGUCAUCACACUCUGUUGUACGGCCUAGUUGAAUGAGCUAGACGCGGCAAGUUAGCAACUUUGAAGCUUCUGGAAUGUGAGAUCCUAUAUGCUAAUCCACAUUAUUUAUCUUUUGCAAGCAAACAAGUACAGGGGACCAUACCUUUCUAAUAUGUGCUAUGUUGUAAUUAUAAUGUUAGUUUCAUCAUGAUUUGUGAAUUGUUGAUUGAGAUGGCACAUUUUCACUUAUUUAUCAUGCAUAAUGUAUUGCAUUUUUUUUACUAUUUUUGUAUAUAGGGUAACGUGAUCGGAGUACGUAAUUGGUCAAAUAACACUUUUUGGUUGAGAACUAUGAAAAUUGGUUAAAUUUGAAAAUGUUGAGGAAAUAGCAAGAGUUAGUUAGCCAUUUACUGUCAGGCCAAUAUUGGGACAGUAUAGGCACUUGUUUCAGUUAAGUCACUCUAGUUUAACAUCUCAAUUCAGAGUUAUUUUAUUUUCCAUACUAUGUUAAUUUCUUUUUUCUACCUCUUUGUAUCUUCUAAUGACUUAGGUAUGUGUACUUAUAAUUUUGAGGAAAGUAGAGAAUUGUUAAACCAAAGCGUAAAAUAUAAACUCCAAAAGUUUGCAUUAUAUGCAAUUAGACCAUAUUACUGAAAUAAUAAUCCUUGCUCCGUUACUGCAUUUUACUGGUGAAUUUUGUCAUGGUAUCCGUUGCGCCUGGUUGUUUGGUUGGGUGUUGACGGUCGUUAAGUACCAAAUAUGACCGUCAAUAUACUCAAGAAUAAAGGAGGGUUGACAUUUCUUACAUGCAUAUUUGGUUUUGAAUAAUGUAGUUCCACUUGUCCUUAGAGAUUAUUUGAUUGUAGGUGAAAUAAUAUAAAAGGAUGGAGAAAGCACUGGAUCCAAGAAGCGCGCUUCCAACCAAUAGGAGGUUGCCACAUGUGCCUCCCAUGGAUUGAAGGGCCCACAAACUACCACAACUGUCUCAAUCCACCGGAUAACGCACGCAACCGUCAUUGGGAUCCACCAGGCAGUCACCUGGAGAAAGGCGGUUGCAAGAAGGACCCACAUGGGGUCGGCCAAACCAGGGGUUCAGCCGAACCGCCAUUGGCUCCUCUUGCCUCCAGCCUUCACGUGGCAACGAUUGACAGGCCCCCUAUGUCGAUUAUGGGAUAUUCCUCGAAGAUUCCCUGCCAGAGCCGCCUCUUGGAGCCUAUAAAUAUAAGGGUAGGGGCUCCAUUCUAGGACACACACCACAAGUGAAUCAUUUUAUCCCUCUUAGCUUCCAAGUUAGUGGAGUUAGGCUAGAGUAGCUCUCCUUCAGGUUCUAGGUCUCCUUGGAGUCUAGAGUAUAACUCUUGUAUCUUUUAUUCCUAGGUUGACAUUAUUCUAUUCAAAGUAUACAUAUUCUUUAUAUAGUAUUGUCCUUGGUUCUUAUAUGCAUGAGUUAGAGAUAUACGCUCAUAUGUUGGUCGUAUACCUUGCUAUCAUAGUAUAGGCUUAUAUACUCUCAUGUAUGCCUUGAGACCAUGCUUCAGUACAUACUCUGUGUGGGGACCGUCCCUCAGGUGUCCCCACUUAAGCAAUACAGUGCCAUUUCCUGGACCAGAAUCCAGCACCAGCAUUAAUCGGAAUGUUUAUCAAAGUAAGAGGGGAGAAAAUAGAAGGGUUAUGAUGGUGUCAUCUUCACCUUUAAGGAGUAAGCAGGAAGCAAUCAAUGCACAAUGGAAAGAUGAAAGCUGGCUCCCUAGAAGACCUGACAAAACAAGCAAGAUUGAGUACUUUUGCCAAAAAUACUCAGCAAGUAUCUUAACGUUGAAAAGUUAAUGACAUGUAAGGUAAAUCAAGGUAAGAUUGGAGUUUUUAUACAGAAAGUUAUUUGUAUGCAAGGUGUAACACCGUUGGGGCUUUUUAAAAGGAAGUUGUUAUUAUGAUAAUGUUAUUUUAAGGGGUUAUGAAACUAUCUGGGUAAAUUUUAGUAUUCAAAAUAGAGGAUAAAAGCAUGAUCAAGGGUUGGUGUCAAGACUUGCCUUGCUUGUUGAGCGACGAAACCGAAUCGUUAAAUGGAUGGCUACCUCCGAGGAGAACUUAACUUACUAGUAAACAAAGAAAUAAACAUGCAACCAAUCACCUCAAAGUUAUCCAAAGCUCAACAGAAGGGUUUUAAGAAGGGUUGUGAAGGGGGUGGGGCUGUGGGAUAGGAUUUAGACGGCUUUCCUAAGUUUCUUGUGAUUUCCUAUAUGUCAUGUGAUUUCUCCUAUAUUUUAUGUGGGUUUCUUGAUGUGAGCGCAUGGGUUUGAGGAUGACUUGAUGGUGGUUUCUAUGCUAUGGGGUUUAAAUAUGUGCUAAGAAUUUCCUAAGCUCUUAGGAAUGAUUUGGAAGUUUGGCAUGAUUUCUAAUAUAAAGAAAAUAGGAUUUAUUAAGUGGCUUCCUAGUUUUGGGGGUUUAGGACAUAAGUUUGGGGAGGUGAACUCAUGAAUGUGUCUAGAAUAUAUUUCUAAUAUUUUUAGGAAUUUAUUUGAUAUUUGUUGAUGAUCGUUAAGUACCAAAUAUGACCAUCAAUAUACUCAUGAAUAAAGGAGGAUUGGCAUUUCUUACACGCAUAUUUGGUUUCGAAUAAUGUAGUUCCAGUUGUCCUUGGAGAAUAUUUGGUUGCAGGUGAAAUAACACAAAAGAAUGGAGAAAGCAACUAUACUCAUCAAUAUACUCAUCAAAACAUAUUUCAUAAUUUGCAUAAUAAUGAUGUUAGGUAAGAUUUUAGGAAAUUCCUAUAUGAUUGUUGUUCGAUAGAUGAGUUUGAGAGGAAAUUGGUAGAGUUCUUAGAGAUGAAUCAAGUUAUAAGUCAGGACAAUUGGUUGCAUUAAAUGUAUCAAAUGAGGAACCUAUGGUGUGCUGCAUAUUAGGAGUACAAUGUUUCUUAGGAUUGAGGAGCAACCAACGGAGCGAGAGCCUAAGCUCUAGACUUCAUAUGGACAUUGCUGUUAAAAUGUCAUUAUUUGACGUGCUACAACACUAUGAACAUUGCCUUGCAAUAUUGCGCAGAACUGAGGCGAAGUUUGACAUUGAAGUAUUGCAAUCCGUUCCAUUCAUAGAGCCAGAUGCUUCAAAUAUUGAUAACCACAUUGCCCAAGUGUUCACACCUAUGGUCUUUGACCUGGUCAAAUGGAGCAUACAUGCUGCCAGCAAAUGCAUUCUCCUUGAAUUACUAAAUGGAUGUGAUUUGAUUUUCGUACAUUGUGGUUAGGAAGAACAGUACAGAGACAAAUUUUAAGGUGCAUUGUGUAUUGAAGGAAGCCUCGCUGUUCUUGCCGUAAGCUGCAAUGCAAAGGCACACCAUGUUCGCACAUAUUCUAUGUUUUGAGAAUAUUGCGAGUAUAUUGACUUCCCAAGUGGUUGCAUGUAUAUUGACUUCCCAAGUGGUUGCAUUCCCAACAGGUGGAUGACGAGUGCAAAGUCAAGAUUUCCUCCAACUACAAAAAAAUAGCAUAUAUGAUUAGUCGAAAAGCCUGGAGAGGUACCGCGAGUUACGAAACUUGAGACAUGCAGCAUCCUUUAAGCCAUAUUGGCCUACUGAAUCAUAUGAGCGUAUGAAACAUGCUCGGCAAGGAGAAGCUAGGACCCAUCUAGUGGUAAAAAAAAAUGAAUGCAUAAGAUAUGGUCGCUACUUCCACAAAACAGCAAUUUGAUUAUAGAAAUGGGGAAAUAUUAUGGAUCUUGUGCAUGUGAAAGGCCGAGGUGGACUGAAGAAAAGACUGAAGGCAAUGAAGAAGAAAAGAUCAACAAUUAAAUGCAGUCGUUGUCAUCAGGAGGGUCACAAUUGGCGUACUUCAGGAUCACACAACAUUUUGAUUAAACCAUAUGGUGCUUCCCUCGCAAGGUCGAGGUAGUACAUUUUAUAACUCCAAUUUAAUCUAGCACACUCCAAAGUAUACACCAAGGGACACAUCUCCAGUUGGCAGGUUUCUUAAAAACAUACAUGUCCUUCCUCCGUGAUGUUUUUCGAGGUUAUAAAAAACUUCCACUUCCACCACAUGAACUCUAGUUUCCAUCACAAGAUCAUGAAUUACAACUAAUCAGCUCAAAAUUACAAAAGUAUAUGAAUAAUAAAUAUGUAGAAUUUCAAAUGUGCAUAUCAUGUGCCAUAUAAUUAAAUACCGGUUCUUCUUCCUCAGAAAAACGAUAAUGAAAAUAGGAUAGGGAGAUGAGGUGGGCCAACUAAGUUAAUUCAUAUACCACAUAUUAGAAUAUAUAUUUAACAUGUUCUCAUUCUAAAAUUUAAAGGGCCUCAUUAAAAACAAAUGAACCAUAAGUUCUUUAAGAAACUUAUUUAAAUAAGUUUUUCAACAAACUUGUUUGAAGAAUUAUGUUGGCAAACUUGUUUGAAGAAGUUUGUUUUACAAACUUGCACGAGGAAGAUUUCUAUGGAACUUUUGAAGAAAUUUUCAUGAAAAGUUAUGUUAUAAACUUUCUUAAGAAGUCGUCCUAAAACAGUCCUUCUGAUAAGUUCUCGAAAAAAUAUCUCCUAAAAGUUAUCAUGAGAAAUUGUUAUGGGAAGAUGCGGAGAACAAAAAAUAUCAAGAGAGGAAUUUGUCAUUGUUGUAGCGUUUGCCUUGUCUCCUGGGCUUGUUGUCCUAGUCAUGCUCUGUCUCGACCUGGACACCAAGCUCACCAUGUGUCUAUGGUGUCGCCAAAAUGAGCACAUCCUGUUAGCUUGUCAAUGCUCAAGUGUCAACCUUCCACGUACAUGUACGCCGUUCCCUUCCGUGCGCCAGGCAGCAUAAGUAAUGGCCCGUACGCAAGUUCUCAAGCUGGAGCUCUUCAGCUCCUUGCUAGGUCACUGGCAUGGUAUGGCUCGCGUGGGCGUGGCAAGCUGCGUUCAUCGGAACAGGAUCGACCGCGCGGCGGCAUGGAGCAGCCGUGCAACCGCAAAACUUCGGCUUGGAGUCCCUGCGACUAACGGGGGAAUAGAGAAUACGGUGGGUAUGGAGAAAGGUAAAUUUACACUUCAUUUCUACUAUAUAUGGCGUUCACUUCUUUUUCUCUCCCGUAGCUGUAGUAAGAGAGUGUGUAUAUGGCAUUCAACCGCAUCUUGGCGUGCCCAGAAUUGGAACCUGCAAGUUGGUGCUACAGCCAGAGUGCCAGUCUUUCACGACAGUCAUCCCCGGCCACCGCUACGGAUGCCCUGAGUGCGACUACGGAUGCAGAUGCGAAGGUCUGGCUGCAACUGCAACUGCGAUGCAACAUUCUCAAUCUUUCAGAGCGACAGGGCCAAAAGAAGUAAAGAACACCUCGAUGGAGCCUCAAGAUAAUGUCCACUCGGUCGAAGUUCCCAAAAGUGAACUGUACAUGGAACUCCCUCAAAUGCUGUUCUGACGAAAGAGAGUUCUCAACCCUAAGGCAGGCAAUACGCAAUUGUUGUGCUGAUCUCUCUAGCAAAGUUACCAGGCGUCUUGCUGCUGUACAGCGGGGCGCAUGGGAGCCUGGGCCCAAAUCCAGCACGGGCCAGCUCGCCGAAAACAAUGGAACAAAAAUGGCCCGUGUGAGUUCAAGAGCCACGCUCAACCUGGUGAUGGGCCGAAUGCUGAUAUGCCUUCUCCAUCCAGCGGGUUUUGUACCUUUUGUACCACGCACGACCCCAACCAAGUUAAGCAACAACACUAAGCCAACCUCCGUUACCCUGGCUCUUAGCUCAAAUGCUCAACACAGGAUGAAGCCAAGAGCUAGGAACAAACCGUGAGAGCUAUCUCUGGAUGAGUACUGGUGUAGACCCUGCUCGUUUUUUUUCCCAAAAAAAACAGAGAUAAAAACUUACGAAUUCUGCACCAGGCAAGCAGCGCUUCGCCGACGUGUCUCAACCUCCAGCACGUUGCUGCCUCUCGAACCAAGAUCACGCGUUCAAUCACCCCCUCGACACCACCUAACCACCACCCAACCAUCCGUCCCGGUGAUUAAUCAACGGCACAGCCACACCACACCUGCGCCGUCAGAGACCUGAACUCCGAUAGAUAUAUUUCACCGGCGCCAAGAAAAUAAACCCCCAUCACACGCUUGGCGCUCUGCGGCUGUGCCACCUGCAGCCCAAGCCGACCCAACGCCCCCCCUCGCCGCAGUCAGCAGCCUCACCAUUCACAUGCACAUCCAAGUAUCCAAUAGAUACAGACAUACAGUGAUCCACCACAACAGAUACAGACAUACAGAGAUCACCACAACCGCGAGUCAGCCACCCAGCGUUUCUCCUCGACGCCGCGCCUUUCGUUUUCGUUUCCGUUAAGCCCCGCCUGGCCGCGCGCGCUCCCGACAUCCCCCGUGUGGUCCAGGGCGCUGGUGUGCACACGGCGCGCGGCCGCCGGCCACACGGUGCCCCGGCGCGUUAUCCCGAGCCCUAUCCCAUCCCACCGUCCCCGCCGCCGAGCGAAGCGAGUGGCGCACUGGCGGAUGAGGCGCCGAGUGGCCCGGAUCCACCGGCCCAGGCGAGCCGCACACGUACGCCGGCGCCGCGCACCUGUCGGCACGCGGGCGCGGCGCAUCUAUUUCUCGAGAGCGCGCGUAUAAGGAGGCGGCACGGAGCAAGGGGCACUCUCACAGACGAAUGUCUACUUGCUUCGCUGGGUUGAGCAUCGUCGCAAGCCUCGGCACCCCCAAGCCGUCCUCCGCCUCCGCACGCCCCAGGCUCAUCAGGAACGCGCCCGUCUUCGCCGCCGCCACCGCCGUCGUGGUACGUACGUGCAUGCAUCGAUCAAUAAUGCAUGGGCAUGGGCUCACUACUGUACCGCACUGCACCGACCACAUUGUACAUGCAUGCAUGUCUAUCCACUUUCUCUUUUCAGUGACCAUGAGCCUGAGCUGUGUAACUAACAAGUUGGCACGUGUCCAUGUCCUUGCUAUUAUCGGCACGUCACACGGCUCUUCACGAAAUGCACUACUGCAAAAAGCAAAAGCCUCCCUUGUCCCUUCCCACAAUCUCGGAGGUUGGUAGCGUACAGACCAGGACUUUCUGAAACGAAACAGAAUCCAAGUGCCACGCGAGUGUGCAAAACGGACCACACGGUCAACUAAUGAUGCACCUUGCAUUGCCACCUUUGGUUAAUUCUUCAAGCUCAAACCACACUUUUCCUGCUACAGAAACAUACGUGUGCCAUUGCCCUCAAUAACAAUAGAUUUUUUCCUUAAAAAAUAAACGUUCGUGUCUUUUCCUAAGAGCAUGGAGGCGCCGCACUGUUCCGUUGUACCAAGAGCCAAUAACAAGGCCCAGUCUGCAAAUGCGGCACGCCAUAACCCAUAACCUCAUGUUCUACCCCUCCGUUUCUAUUUAUAAGGCAUGACAUAACUUAGCACAGUCUUCCAAAUUACACUUUGACCAUUCAUUUAUCUUAUAUCAUAUUAUUUAUGGUUAUAAACUUAUGAUCAUUGUAAAGUUUAUUUAAUUACGCAUCCAACCAUAUAAAUUUUAUAUUAUAAAAAUAAAAAAUUGGUAGUUAAAUUGCUAGUUAAAGGUUGUAAAGUUUGAAUCUAGAUAUGUGCAUGCCCCUUACACAUAAAAUUUCAUUUCAACCAAUCAUUGCAUAGUAGUAUAUACCAGGUCAUACUUUUUCUCCUGCUAAUCUAAUCAUUUCCCCGUCCACCAGUAGCAACAUCAACAUGCAUGUCAACCACUGCACCCCGCAAUAGAAUAGUCGGGAAGGGAGGGGGUUUCCAAAGAGGUGGCCAAUGAUGGUGCUAGUUUAAAGGCCACAGCUAGAUAGAUGCUUUGGAAAGAAUAUAUAUAAUUCCCCAAAAGUCUCAAGUUUCAGGGAAGAAAGAUGCAAGUACACUUGCUUAGGCGUGUAAUGGGUGGCCUUUUCCCUAAACAAAGCGAUAAGGUGGGGAGUAGGGUCGUCAGUGGACUCGUUGCAUGAUGAUAGCAACUCCACACAAAACAGUUAAACAGAAGAUGUGGAGAGCUAGCCCCCAUCCGUCUUUUGGCUUUUCAGUUCCGUUUUGAACCAUCACGCAUCAAGAAAUCCAAUAACCGACCAUCUAUCAAUUUAAGCUUUAUAGUGCGCGUCAACGUUAGCUUUUUCUCUUUAGUAACGCCCAUGAUUUCCCGCGUUGCUUUUGCUCACUGUUGAGUUUUUUGCAGACAGAGCAACGAACUACCCACCAAGAGAUUCCUUGCAACUUCACAAAAGAAAAAAAAAAUCUUCCUUUUCAUCAGUAUCUGGGAGGGGGGAAAGAACUUUGCUACGUAUUGAACCGGUGGAAAAAAAAAGGUUACAGUUCUCUGUGGUAAACUGGCAGUACUUAGUACUAGUAGUAACCAAGUUUGUUAGCGCUAGGCAGUAGGAGGAGCCCAGAUUUUCGUUGCCUUCACCUCAUCACGCUGAUGCGAGGCGCACGGCUUGACACCGAUCGCACCAUGACUCGGGUGGUGCAUGCAGUCCAAACCUGUCGUAGGCUAUAGCGGCUGCCAUUAGAUAUGCACUAGAUACACGCGAAAAGGAAAUAGUAGAAUAGCUAGCCCCAAAGGGAACCUCAUCCCUUCGAUGGUUGAGCAAGCAACCGUUGCAUGUGGAGUAUAUUUAAAAGUUCACGAUUAGUGCUAGUGGUUCCUCAUUAGUAGACCGUCAUGAUGAUCGAUGAGUAAGCACGGCAGCCUAACAUACCGGAUUAGGAGGGCGCAUCAGGGGGACAAGGUCUCGAUGAGCUGAGCUCGACUGCAAGAUCAGUCUCCAAUAAUUUAGGAGCUGGUCCGUGGUCCGGGCGGUUGGCACUGGUGAAGGGAGUAAUUUAGGCGAGCCGAUAAGGAAGAUUCGGUCCCCAAGGCCGUGCCAUUGGUGCCCCGUCGUCCGGCGAUGCGACGAGCUAAAACGACCUCUUCUCUGAGAGUGAUUACCCCAUGGGGAAGUAGAGUAGCAGCCCCGUAGGCAGGCAGAUGGCAGUCUGGCAGAUCUGGGUGAGUGGGCAUCGAGAUUCCUUGGUUGUGGGAAACAACCCCUGGGGAAACGUUUUCUCGAUCGGGGUGUGGGGGAGGCAGCAAAAAGGAAAGGUUCCCGCAGCCAGCAACCUGGCCGUGGCCGGCGCCACUUGUGCUUUCGCUCUCCGUACCCGCAGCUGUGCCUCCCAUCGCAGAGCGUCAUCUGCCCAGUAGCAUAUGGUCAACUGGUCCCUCCAGCCUUGGCCUCAGCAGAUGACGAGUGCCCGUUUACCUCUUGAGCUCCUGGCCGAACUUUUCAGUCCGAAUGACUCUUGGGGUUGCCUGACCUUUUUCGUACACCAAUAAACAUUUUUUCUUCUAGAGCACCUGAUUUCAUCGGCUCAACUCAAAAGCAGAGUUGAGCACACGCGUCCGCGUCACAUACAGAUCACGGGCGCCUAAGAAUUAAUUCAACGACAAAAAGGGGAUAAGGCUGUUGCCGUUCCGUCCACAGAAGCCGCACUCACUCCCCCAUUACCAUUACUACUGCUGAUUUUUCUCCUGCACGCUCUCGCUCACGCUAUUAUUGCACGUGUCAUGUUGCUAGUAAGCCGACGAACGAGAAGCUCAUCAAAAAGUCAGACGAGAGAGAGGCGAGGAGUAGUAGCAUCCAAGCCGGCCGGCCAUAGGAAGAGGAGAAGAUGAGCGGGUGCCUUUGCCUCCCUAAAAAGAAGGAGGGGGUCUCCGCAGCGAAGCAGUCCAUAAAUUCCCCCGCCUCGUCACUCCUCCAGAACCAGAAGCCCACCCAACCUCCACCUCCUCCUUCCAAGAAGGUCCGUUCCCCUCCUCCCUUCUCCGUCCUUCCUCCUGCAGUAAUCCCCAUCCAUCCGUCACUCUUCUUUUUCCUCUCUUGCCCCCAUCGCUCAGUAGCACAGCGGCUGCAGCUGCCCUUUUCUUCACCCCCUUUGUGCUGCUGCAAAGCAGAUCCCUGCAUGGCUGCAUCCCUAUCCCCAUUUUAGAUCACCUUUGCGCAUGCUCCCUUGUGGUCUGUGCGCAAGGAGGCCAGAAAAUUUCUUCUUGUCCCUGUCCCUCUCCCUCUCUCCCUCUCUCUCUCUCUCUCUCGAACUGCAUCACCAGCAUACAGGGUAGUGCCUUGGUGGGGAUGGCUAACUGACGAUUUGUGUCUGAUCUUUGGUUGCAGGGCAUGGACGCCGUCGAGCGCUUGAAGAGCGGGUUUGACAAGUUCAAGACCGAUGUCUAUGAGUAAGUCACCAUCAAUUGCCCCGCGUUCGAUUUCAGUUUCAUGGCGCUUGAUUUGCUUCGAGAAUUUUGGGACCUCCCACUGACGACCCUGCUUUGCCCCCCGUGGAAUUUCCUCCUCGCAGCAAGAAGCCGGAGCUGUUCGAGCCGCUCAAGGAGGGCCAGGCACCCAGGGUAUGUGCUUCCUUCUCCGCCCUAUCUCAUCACCCUUGUAGACUGCUAAGAUUUUUGUCUGGAGCGGCUCCGGCCGGCUGGAAUCCUCGUCAGAAAUCAUGGAAAGCUUAAUUUAGCCAAACCGCGUUCAGUAACUUGGGUUCCCGUGGGGUCCGGGCAACGCCUGGUUGGCUGGCCCACAGAUUUGGUAGUACCUAGUACGUCCUGGUUGCCCAGGCGUCCAGUUAGAAGCAAGCUCUGAACAGUGUCGCUGGUACUAGCUCACCAUCAGGAUCCCUGCAUUACAUUCUCGUUUGCAUCUCCCAGGCAACCCUGCUGCCAUCCGUUACUGUUUCAUUUGCCGAGGUCAGAGUCGUGGUAGACAAGCGGAAACGGCUUGUCCUAAUUGCAUGACUUAACACUGACGGGGACAGCUUGUCUCCAUUAGCGGCCAGUGGCCCGUGAUCAGGUUGGAGAAACUGAAACUGUUCUUGUUGGACGAGCCUGCUCCACGGGGCACAGCCUUUUCAACUGUGCAGAGAGAGAUUGUAGUGGAUAGCAACCACCCAGGCACUAAAACAUGCGCACGGCGAGUGCAUCCCCAUGUGCAGGCCAUGUUGGUGAUUUGGGCGUUGGCCUUGUAAAUUAUUGAGAGAGAUGUCGCCGUCCCUGUAUAGGCUCACUUUCUGGACUGGUGGUGGGUGAUGAUGGAUAUAGUAUAGUCUUAUUUCCUUCUCGUUCCUAGUAUAAACCUGCUGCCAGAAUCUCGCAAGUACAGAGUUUUAUUGUUUUCUUUAUGGGGGUUCUUGGCUGGCAUCGAUCCCAUGCGCCUAAUUACUCCAUGCAUGCUGUAGUUAGCUGGUUCCAGGCCCAAGUAGUCUAGUAAUUUUAUUUGCAAAAAAAAGUGGUUGGCGUCUUAAUCGGUCUGUGGGAAACUAAGAACUAGCAACUAGCCGUGUUGAAUUCAAAGUUCAGACUAGUUGAAUUUUGUCAAGGUCUCCUGCAUCGUUUUUUUUUUUUUUUUGGGGGGGGGGGGGGGGGGGGGGGGGGGGGGGGGAGUAUAGUGCUCUAGUCCAUCAUUACACUAUAUGGUGGUGGUGAGUAGGCAUUUCAGAUGUCUCAUCGUUUUGAAAGUUCUUUUUGACGCUGCACAAAUCAUACACUAAAAAGUGACGUGAGCUCCAAGUUUCCAUGGCUAUGAAUAGAAUGGAAAUGCAAGGUGAGCCAUGCCCACAUAGACAGGUGAUAGGUCCAGGAUCCCAUCAUUCCAUGGCUAAACGUGUGGUCCAGCCAUGAUUGAGCACAGGCCCUACCUGGCAGCUAGCAACCUGUCCUGUGGCUGUGGCGCACUGGUUCCUCACCUCAUAGAAUUCGUUCUUCAUCAGCAUGUAGAAGAGUAGUUGGUUUGAGCGUGUCCUCUAUUCCCAGCCAUUGCGAAAAGUUAGGGGCAUAAACAUUGGCCAGUGCAUGUUGCUUUAGCCUUCAGAACAUUUGUGUAUUCGCAUCCAUAUCUCACUGGCCAUGCUGAUCCUUGAAAUAUAUGCUAUACUAGACACGUCUCAAAGUGUAUAAAGAGCAGAAGAUGAUUGCAUCACGCCAUGCCCCUUGCCCCCUUUCCAAACCCUGGCCUCCCAAGUGUGAGCUAAUCCAAAUAGGAACGAGGUUCCUUUUCCUAAUCAUCCAUGGACAUCGUGUCCGUCCAUCCAUUGUGGCUGCUCUUGUCACCAAGCUCAAUCUGCAGUGUGGAUUUGGCAGUUUUGAUCCGGCCUUUUGCAUGCAAAUUGUUCUCGGUUCAUGCAUGCAGGCUCGCCUUUUGCGUGUCAACUUGCCCGGAAAUAUUCUUGCUUUACGCUUGCGGCUUCCUCGCCGGGAAUGGGAUCACGUUUUGUUUCUGGCCCGUUGAUCGCCCCGGGAGCCACAUGAAAGUCGGCGUAGAAUAUCCUCGUUUCGAGUAGUAGCAGGGAACCUUCCUGCUUGGCUUUUGUCCAUCCUGCCCCCCUGGUAAAAAGUGGCUCGGAACAGAGACAACCAGGAAAUUUUUCAAAAACAGAGACAGCCAGGUCAAAAGCGGUAGCCUUUUUCGAGCGCAGUGGUACCAGCAUGCAAUCCAGCAGAGCCACCAGAAUCGUGUACUCCACCGAUCAGCGCCGAUCUGCCUACCUGCUUAUCGAUAAGAGCCGUGGGGGGCGUGAGAUGUCCAUUAGCGAUAAGACUGAUUAAGCGUGCUCUUUUCGUUAACCUGAUGCUUGAUUUUUCUUCUCUUUUGUUAAUGAUGCUGAUUUCCCCCUUUUGUCAACGCUAUGCUGCAGUACAUGGUGUUUGCCUGCUCCGACUCCCGUUGCUGCCCGUCGGUGACCCUGGGCCUGCAGCCCGGCGAGGCCUUCACCGUCCGCAACAUCGCCGCCAUGGUCCCACCUUACGACAAGGUAAACACUGUCUGACUGACUGACGCAUGGACAUCUGUGUUUUUUCUUUUGUUUGGCCGGCCAUGACCACUGGUGUGUCUUUGCCUGUCGACUGCUGCGUGCGCAGACCAAGUACACCGGCAUUGGGUCCGCCAUCGAGUACGCCGUCUGCGCCCUCAAGGUGGAGGUCCUCACCGUCAUCGGCCACAGCCGCUGCGGUGGCAUCAAGGCGCUCCUCUCCAUGAAGGACGGCGCACCUGACAACUUGUAAGUAACGGUGGAAUUAAGUUACAGCUUUGGAUCGAGGAACCUAUCCUGCAGCUUGGUGUUUCUGACUCGAGUACUAUCUCUUUAAUCAGCCACUUCGUCGAGGACUGGGUCAGGAUCGGCUUCCUCGCCAAGAAGAAGGUGCUGACCAACCAUGCCUCGGUUCCGUUCGAUGACCAGUGCACCCUCUUGGAGAAGGUAUGUUUGAGCUACUCAAUUACCAUGGCGAUCUUACUUUCCCAUACAGUAGCAGUGUUUGCAGUGCCAAUUGCAUCUACACGUGUGUACUGCCUGGUCUGCAUGAAUAUCGAAUUGGUUUGCUCAUGAAAGGAUCCUGCAUUUCUGAAUAUUUUUGCAGGAGGCCGUCAACGUGUCCCUCUACAACCUCCUGACCUACCCCUGGGUGAAGGAAGGUGUGGCCAACGGGACACUCAAGCUGGUCGGCGGCCACUACGACUUCGUCAACGGGGUGUUCUCCGUGUGGGAGAAAUAAGCCACCCGGUUUAUUCAUCAUACAUACAUACCGAAAUAAUGCAUCCAAUCGAUGUGAAUGCAUGAGUACUUACUACCUAUUUUCGGCCGCUACAUAUAUAUCAGAUCGGCCGAUGUGAAUGUAAUAAGAUAUAGCAUUUUCUACCGCUUUACGACUUCUAUGUACUAUAUGAUGCGUAAUUUGGCCGCCUUGUGGUCAAAAGACAUCAGCUAUGUAUAAGCCGUUUUACUACCAUGGCUAUGUAUAAUUUCAUAAUAUUUUCGUCAAGAGUUUACCUUUUACUACCCCUUCAUGUUGGCUUCUUUGUCUGUCCCCUUCCUGGUUGCUGAUGCAGUAUUUUUAUGUGAUAACAAGAAUAAUUUUGUAUGCAUUAGUAGCUUAACUCAAGAUAUUAUAUAUUCCUCGGUAGAGGGAGUAUCAUUAUGACUACACUUUAUGCUGGAAAAUGCACGUCUUGAAGAAGAAAGUCAAUAUUACAAUGUAAAGGAACGGUAAACUAGAAUAAUGCCAUAGUUUUCCCCCUCCUCCUUUCCUUUUAAGGCUAAAAGCCUUAACCACUGUACAUACAUUCUUUUUCACAUGUAUAUACAAAAAUAUGAAUAGGGGCCUCUCCUGCCGUUCCCUAAAAAAAAUGAUCCUAAAUAAUAACUAAGCUGCUUCAUUACUUCAAAAAAACUUCUUCAGACAUUUCUUAAUGCAAAAUCAUUAAGAACAAUAUCAAGAUCAAUGCUAUACAUGAAAGUAAAUAAUUGUUACUGGAUUUCAAUGUCUAAAACUAAAGAUCUAACAUACUAAAUGAAUGAUUAAUGAAUUAACAAAUAAGUCAAUAAUUCACGCGCGAUGAUGGACGACAAUUCGGCGUCAGAUGUACUUGAUGUUGCCGGCGUUGAGUCGAGGAUGAGAUUGAUGUGUUGAUCGCUGACGCCUGAGCCGCGUAGGGCUUGCAGAUUGGGCCUCAAGGGGUCGGGCUGUCGGGGAUAGCAGAUUCGUUGUGAGCUGUGAUUGUGACACAGUCACGCAGAACGGCCGCCACCCGGCCCCCUCGUCUCCUCGAUUGCGGCGGCGAAUAGACGAAAGAGGAUUCAUCUUCGUGCGCAUGCCUCCUGACUGCCUGCAUGCUGAGAGCGCUGCGCGGCCGGACUCUCCAGCCUAGAGGCCUGCUCAACAGGGGUCUUUUUUUUUUUCAGCAAGUUACCGAGGGGUAUCCUGAGGUAGUAGAUUGGUUGGUAGGGGAUCGUCGGAUCUGAAACUCGAACGUAAAAGUGAGGACACAACACACCGAUUUAUACAGGUUUGGCCGCCAAAGUAGUGUAAUACCCUACGUUCUAUUUGGGGUGUUGUAUAUUGCGCCCUACGUUUGAGUAUUGUUUGGUGUUGAGGAUUUUGUCCUCUGUUGUGGUUCUAUGAGCUCUUCGCCUACCGAUCUAGGAACCCCUACCCUCCUUUAUAUAAUCCAGGGGGGAUUACUAGUCGGUUAUAAGGAAGAGUCCUAGUAGGAUUACAGCGUAUGAGUCUUAGUAGGAUUAUAGGGGAAUCCUAAUAGGAGUCCGUCUUCUUCCUUCCUUGCGGGUACUGGGGAUUUAUCCUCGACAAGCUCCCGAGCGCUUCAUAGUCAAAUGCAGUAGUCUUCGAGUACUUUUCAGAUCCUCGCUGAGUAGUUUUAGUGCUCCUCAAGUACUUUAUCUGGUUAAAUCUUCAAAGUUCCUCAAAACUGUCAUGAGUCUAUGGGUUGCUCAAGCCCUUGAUCGACUUGAUUUUAUAAUCUUCAUUGUGACAUGUAGGGCGGCGAAAGUUGCACUCCAUAUGAAGUAGCCCCUGAGCCUUAGGUUAAAUCGAAAAAGUAGGCUGAAGGUUAAUAAAAUCUUAAAUCUUCUUCUUUCAUCUUGAAAAAUCAACUGUUAGGUGUAGCUUAUCAGCCCCCGAGCCUUGAAAUGAUUAAAUAAUUAAUUCAAGGGUCUUUAGUCUUCACGCAAGUCGUCUUUCGAGUAGUCAUUUGGUGUCCAGCCCCCAAGCUUAUGUGCCAAGUAAGCCAUAGGAGCCACGUCGAUUAGUUAUUUGGCGCUUAGGCUCCGAGCUUGGAAACUAGUUGAGCCAUUGAAGAUAUUUCGAGUAGUAAUUGGUGCUUAGCCCCCAAGCCUGGGAACCAUUGGAGGUACGGUGAACGUCCUAGAGAGUCGUCGUCGAAGUUUGACCUGCAAAAAGAGAUGCAUACAUUAUGUAGCAUAUUGUAGAAUUUGGAACUACUGAAAUUUAUUCAGUGAUGAAUAUAAUGUAAAUGUUGUGUGUCAUGUUCUUGUUUCGGCCAUAUUUUUCCCGAGUAGCUAUUCUAUUACGUUUAGGCUCUCAGUCCCUAUUUAACUAUUGCCACUGCGUGUGAGAUCUUUGUCUCCUGUACGUGUAUUGGCACUGCUGCUACGCGUUUGAAAUCUUUGUCCGUGUACGUGUCCUAGCGUUUAGGCAUGACAAAAGAUUCGAGAUUUUCACGAAUUAAGGCGUGUUCUGCUCGAGAAGAUUAACAACCGCUAAGACAAGACAUUUAAAAUAAGUAGUCGGUAUUGCAAUAAAAAAAUUGCAUGAUUGCGCGUAAAGUAGUCAUUGAGACUUUUCUACCUUUUUGGCGAGGAGAGCGCGUGUUUGCCGCAUAUAGAAUUUGUGCCUCACUAGGGUGUAGCCGUUGUGAGCCUCCAGCACUUAGUGCACCAAACUUCGUGGCAGAACCUCCUAAUUCAGUGUACCAAGCCUGUGGUGAAGCUUUCGGAACUCGGUGCACCAAACCCGUGGCGGUAGCCUACAUAAUUCGGUGUACCAAGCCCAUAGCUGUCGGGCAACAUGCCCCAGGAAUAAUUGGCAAGUGUAGCUCUGGAGGGUAAUUUCCGUCAAGAGUCGUACGCAAAAAAGUACUCAGCACGUUGCCCUGCAUGCGGAAAACAAUCCAGAAAAGUUAUAUGAAAUAAUUAAAAAAGUGACUUAGCUUGAUUUGUGGACGAUUGUCAACAAAGCCAUGUCGAUUGUUGAUGAAGCCAACUAGUCGGAGUCGAUUCCGACUAGUUGUUGAUCGCGUGGAACCCGCCCUCGACUAGUUUUGUAGUUGAGAUGAGUAGUUGAAGUAGACCGUCCUCGACUAGUUUUCUAGUCGAGACAAGUAGUCGAAGUAGUCGUCGGCGACUUGAUGCGGCCGGAUGUCGGGGUAGCGGUGCUCGCGUACGUCUUCUAUGUACGUUAGGUUAUGAUUUUGAGAUCUUGUGGUAGCCUUUCAUGUGCGUGUAGCACAAAUCCCUCAAAGUUGCUUUUCACGGAGAGUACUCGGAGCUGAUUAUUUGCCUCACUCUGCGCGUGAUUGUAACAGAUCUUUGUCAUUUGGGGAAUUAUGACGUGGGUCCCUCGAUCUGCCUAAUCUCUCAACUCGAAUCGGAUUUGCCUCUACCUUGAUCGAAGAGCCGCAUGCCUACGGCGGAAACCGACUCGGUUUUCGACUAGAACGCGGAGCGCAUCGAUUCUGUGUCGGCGUAGAUUUGUCUGGUCGGAACUCCAACUCGGCAAUUUACUUCCUGUUGUGUAGAUUGAUCUUGAUGAUGAGGUCCUUCAAGCUCGCCCGAUGAUCUCGACGAUCACCCCUACCUAGCGCGCCAAAUGUCGGUGUUUUAUACCCGGCAACAUACCAAGGGGUUUCCUGAGGUAGUAGAUUGGUUGGCGAGGGAUCGUCGGACCUGGAACGCGAAGGUAAAAACGAGGACACAAGACGCAGAUUUAUACAUGUUCAGGCCGCCAGAGUAGCGUAAUACCCUACGUCCUGUUUGGGGUGUUGUAUAUUGCGCUCUGCGCUUGGGUGUUGUUUGGUGUGGAGGAUUUGGUCAUCUGUUGUGGUUCUAUGAGGUAUUCGCCUAUCGAUCUAGGGACCCUGCCCUCCUUUAUAUACUUCAGGAGGCGGGAUUACUAGUCGGUUAUGAGGAGUCCUAGUAGGAUUACAGGGUAUGAGUUAUAAGAAGUCCUAAUAGGAUUAUAGGGUGUGAGUCAUAGUAGGAUUAUAUGAGAAUUCUAGUAGGAAUCCGGAUCUAUCCCGACACCCUCCUAGCAUGAGCCCCUCGCCGUGGCUUCUGAUGCAUAGGGCUAAAGCUGGGCCUUUGUGGGGCACGGCGAUGGCGUGGCUUUGAUGAAUCAAGGAAGCGGCGGAGGAUGGGUAGAAAUUCCAAUAUUUAACACCCAAUACGCUCUCACUGAAUUUGAUAACUAAUUUGUAGGCCUUUUAUUUGAAAUUUGACACCGGGCUACGAAUCUGGUGUUUCUCCUCCCUUUUGUCUUCACUUUUUUUAAGAAAAAUCAAACAAAGGUACUAAUAAUUUUUUUCAAGCUUACCAUUCCGGGAAAAAAAAAGGAAAAAUCUAGAGUGUCGUAUCCUGGGUACAUAGUUUACCUGUGCCUGCUGUUCAGUCCAGCCUACCGCUUUCCCUCUGCUCGUCCCCGCCGGCUCCGCCACCGGCACACGUCGCGACUCGCGAUCCCUGCCCACCGCGCCGUUUAUUACCCCAUCUCUCUCGAGUCUCCAUCAUGCUCCUUGUACUCGUUUCCCGGCAGCCGGAUGGCACCCCAGCCCCGGCGCCACGCGCGCCCGCGCCUGCCCGGAGCUCCCAUCAGCCGGAGGUCAAGGCGAAGGCUUGGACCUUUGGGAGCUCGGUGGGUUAGUGGUGUACGUGUGUACCUGUCCAUCUGUCCGGUACAAGAACACGUCCCGGUCUGGACUGGUUCGCCGUUUCACGCAUCCAUCCGUCCAGCUGCACGACCGUCGACCGCCCGAGGAGGGGAGCAGGCCGGAAAAGAAGGUGAGCCGCUGCUUCCCGUGCCUCCCCCUCCUAUAAAAGGACCCCCAGGGAGGCAUGGACGGGGCAGCAGCUCUACAGCGAACCAAGCCUUUCUUCUACAGUCUUCUCAAAUCCUCGAGAACCAGAGGUCCACCCACCUUCUCCUCCACCGCACAAAGGUCAAUCCCCCUCCCUCCUCCAUCCAUCCUCCAUGCAUCGGACCAUCUUCUUUUCCUUUAUAGGCUAGUCACUCACGAUUCGCAUGAUUCUCUCUCUCUCCUCCUCAAGAAAUCCCGCAUCAGGCGAUCCUGUUGUGGACGCAUGGUACGGUAGUGCUCACGACAUGAUCUGUGGUUCUUGCAGGCCAUGGCGGACGCCGUCGAGCGCUUGAAGACCGGGUUCGAGCAGUUCAAGGCCGAUGUCUACGAGUAAGUAAUCCGAGCCGCUAGCUAUUUUCUGAAGCCUUCUGCUCCAUGAUUCAUGCAUGGUGACGGUGCGGAGUGAAUUGACCUUCUGACGAUCUGUCUCCUGUCGGCAGCAAGAAGCCGGAGCUGUUCGAGCCGCUCAAGGCCCACCAGUCCCCCAAGGUAUGCGCUGUCAUGUCCUCCGAUAAUCCUUGUGGAGUAGCGAAAUGUUCCGUCCUGCGUGUUCUUGUUAUACUCGCCAGAAAUUUCCGAAGCUGUAGCCAGUUUCUGAAUCCGGUAGAUUUUGCAAAGUCUCGCGGGGAUCUGGAUUGGCAACCAUCUCCUAGUAUCACAUCGGGAAUCACGGGUCCCCAUUUGCCACCUACCCUGCCGUUGUCCGUUGAUCUAGCGGCCCUAUCCGCGUACAACGCCGGCGUGCGUGUGUGCACACAGCAUUUGGUCUGGGUCAAAGUUGACAAAAUGGGAAAGAAAAAAUAAGUGAUAGAAGUCUGCUCUAAUACGUAUGCUAGAAUAAAGAAGUUCAUAAAUAGUAGUAUAUAGCUAUACCAGCUGUAAGAAAUUAAGAACACUACAUAUAUGGCAUCUAAAUAUACUUAUAGAUGGACCAACAUAAAAAAAAAUAUCAGAUAGAUACGUAGUACUCCCUCUCCCCGUUCCAAAUUAUAAGUCGUUUUGGCUUUCUAGGUGCAUAGUUGCUAUGCACCUAGAUAUUGUGCAUGUCUAGAUGCAUAAUAAUAUAUAUGAAUCUAGAAAAGCCGAAAGGACCUAUAAUUUGGAAUUUGGAAACAUUUAAUCUUAUCUAGUUAAUUUAUACAUUUUUAAAUAAAGAAAAUGUUUCCAAAAAAAAGUUAGAAAUGCUUAGCCGAAAAUAAUCUUAAUUAAAUAGACAUGUUGUGAUGGGAGGAGUAGUAUAAAAGAACACAGUUUGAUGUGGACUCUAAACUGUAUGACUGGAAAUGUUGAAUGCUCCAAGUUGCGCCCCGAACUAAAGAUUCCAUACGUUUUCUAGCCACGGUCCAUCUUGUCUUCACUCGCAAGUAAAGUAGGCACGAACGAAAGGCCAGGCUCCUGUUGCUGUUAAUCAGCUCCUAUCACCCGCGUUUGCCCCUUUGGUGGGAGCUAGGAAGAGGCUGAGAGCAAUGGCCGUCAGGUCAAAAGUAGCAGCCUUUGUUUUCGUAUCGCACACGUACACACUCUACCGACGCUGAAUGUUCUUCUCUGCCGCUGAUGGUUGGCCUGCAGUACAUGGUGUUCGCCUGCUCCGACUCCCGCGUGUGCCCGUCGGUGACCCUGGGCCUGCAGCCCGGCGAGGCCUUCGCUGUCCGCAACAUCGCCAGCAUGGUCCCACCCUACGACAAGGUACGCUUCCGCACGGACACACGCCUGCUAAUUCUGCCACAUGUCGCCGCCACUUGGCGGGCAUCGACGCCGCCUCGACAGCUGACGUGUCACUGCCUGUCGACUGCUGCGUGCGCAGACCAAGUACGCCGGCGUCGGGUCCGCCAUCGAGUACGCCGUCUGCGCCCUCAAGGUGGAGGUCAUCGUCGUCAUCGGCCACAGCUGCUGCGGCGGGAUCAAGGCGCUCCUCUCGCUCCAGGACGGCGAGGCCGACAAGUUGUAAGCGACUGAAAAGAAGAUUCAGAAAACGAUGGCGUUGAAACUGAAUUAUAUGUGUAUCUUAUUGCAUCGUUAUUGUUUGACUCGAGCAUGUAUGUUCUCUCUGUUGUUUGAUUACCUGUUCAGCCACUUCGUCGAGGACUGGGUCAGGAUCGGCGCCCCCGCGAAGGCGAAGGUGCAGGCCGACCACGCCUCAGCUGCUUUCGAGGACCAAUGCUCCAUCUUGGAAAAGGUACGCUUUGAAUUGAAAGAUUUCUCUUGGAUCUUCAUCUUGAAGACUACGUAGCUCGAACGGAACGAUUUGCUCAUGGAGUGUUUUAUUGGAUUUCUGAAUACUUCAUCUUGCAGGAGGCCGUCAACGUGUCCCUUGAGAACCUCAAGACCUACCCGUUCGUCAAGGAAGGGCUGGAGAAGGGGACCCUCAAGCUGGUCGGCGGCCACUACGACUUCGUCUCCGGCAAGUUCGAGACAUGGGAACCCUAAGAGGCCAACCAGGCCAGUACACCAUAUACCUACAAAUAUGCUCCCGAUCGAUAUAUAUGACUGCGUGGAGCACAACUAAUUCGCCCCUAUACAGCCAUACCGUAUUGCUCUAUGUGGACUGUAAUAAGCGAUGCAAAUUUCUACCGUGGAGGAUUUAUUUGUUUUUUUUUUGUAAUGUAUGAUGCAUAAUUUGAUCGAUCUGUGGUCAAAAGACAUCAGCUAUAAUGAUCUUUUCAUUAAUAUUAUCAUGAAGAGAGAAAAUAGUUUACCUUUUUAUGCUACCUCUCUUGCUGUUCCCCAACUUUAAUUCUGACUCUUUCUUAAAUGUUGAUGACUUUUCUUUUGCCACGACGUGCUCUUGGGUUUAGCAAUUAUGUCCCUGAUUUCCACAGGAUGUAGCUGCCAACGUUGCAAUCCUGCUUUAUUGAAUAAAUCUCCUGCCAUUUGUCCUAAAAAAAAGUAUCUUUUUGGUUGAUUUGUUCAGAGAACACUGAAAACAACUUCAUACACUGCAUACGAAUCAAGAAACGUUAAAAACGAAAGCGAAAUACCAACAUCUUUGCAACAAGAUUUAUGAAACAAGACACAUACUUAAUAUGUUUUGAAGUUAUUUUAUACAAUUGUCAAUUUAUGUUGAUACCAGUUUAUUUACAAACUGUAUAUCAACUUAUAGCGUAUUUUGGAUGUAUCAAAUCCACUAGUUUAUCUAGAGGAAAAUAACGCAAGGACAAAUAGCAAGUUAUGCUACACAAUGCAAUAACUUGUACGUCUAUUACACCUUUAACUUCCACAACAAUUUCGUGUCAAUUUAUUAAUAUCAAAUUCGUAAAGAAUUUGUGACAACUUCUAUAUCCUUAAAACUUAUGCAACGAUAAUGCGACGACUUAUAUAGGGACAAUGUACCAAUUUAUGUAGAGAUAAUGUAGCGAUUUAUGUAGACACUUCAUAUACGUAAUAACAUCUUGUAAAAUUAUUUUUUAGCAAUUUAUUUAUAUAGUUUAUUAAUAAGUGACACAUGUGUAGCUACACACUUAAUACAUAUCUAACUACUGCACAUCAACAUAAGUUGCAAACACAUAAACACUUUUUUGAAAUAUAUGCAUCACGCAUAUAGUUUUAUAGAACUUAUCGCAAUGAAUAAGGUAGUGCAAACGGAAAUUCUAACAAGCACUCCAAGAUAAAAUUACCAUAUUUUAAAAAAUAUGAAUGCUUACUGAAAAACUCUAAUUUAGCAUCUCCACGCCGUGAUCCACUUCGACAUCUACCUCAGCCUAUGUGCAUGCUCAGUCCAAAUUGAAACAAAUUAUUGCGGAUCAAAUUAAUUGACAGUGGUGGUCCGUCAAAACCGGGUGCAUACCGUGCGGGGUCUGCUGGUUGGUAGCUUGGGUCAGGCCGCACGGCGUUGUGUGCUCCGUGGAUGCCUACCUGUCGCAUAGCCAUCUGUUGUGCGCAUAGGUAGGAGUGGAAUUCAACCCGGAAGCAAUUUGGCCCAUGAAGUGAAGAAGAAGCCGGCCCAUAUUCAUUGUUAACUGCUACUUUCACCUUUUGUGGAGGUAAAUGAGGUCCACUGUAAUAGACUUUUUCUUGUUUCCUUCCUCCUUCCUUUUUCCUUCUCUUUUUAUUUUUAUUUUUUCUAUCUUUUAUUUUCUUCUCAUUUUACUUUUAUUUUUGGUAAUAAUAACCUUUAUUACUUUUCUCAUAUUUAAUUUUUUAAAUCUACUUUUUCAUUUUUGCUUUUACUUUUUCGUUCUUAUUUUCUUUUCUUUUGGUAACACUAAGUUUUCCUUUUCUUUAUAAAAAAUUUUCUUUUAUUUUUCUAUAUAUUUAUCUUUUUUAUUUAUUUUUUCAUUUUAUUUCCCUUUUUUUCUUUUCAUUUCUGUACCACUAGCUAUGUCCUCCCUCCGUAUCAAAAUAUUUGUCGCUACUGAAUUUUUCUCACAACUUUUGACUAUUCUUAUUAUUCAAAAUUUAUUGCAAAUACGCGACAAGAUAAGUGAAGCUUAUAAUACAUUUGAUGGUAUUAUAAGUCACAAACAAAAUGAAUGAUACUUACAUAAUUUUUUGAAUAAGACAAAUGGUCAGCAACGAAUGGUAUUCGUAAUUUUACAUAAUGAAUGAGAAAGUCAGCAACCACAAAUAUUUCGAUACACAGGAAGUUUAUAAUUUUGUUCGUAUGUAAAAAAUAUUUUUCACGAUGUGUAUAAAAUUAUUUGUUCCCAUAUGGAGCCAUUUUAUAGAUUAAUUUAUUCAUGAUGUAGACUUAUUUAUUCAUUUUAUAGACUAAACUAAUCAAUUAUGUAGACUCAUAGAUUGUAUUAUCAUAUUUGUUCCAAGUGGACAAAGUUUUGUUCAGUGAGUUAAUAAUAAUUUGAUCAAGGUAUAUAAAUACUUAUUCUCUGAGUUUUCUACAAUUAUUUGAGGUAUAUAGAUCUUUUAUUUCAUCAUUUCAUAUAAUUUGUUUGAUGUAUAAAACUAUUUUGUUCCGCGAGUUCGUAUAAUUUAUUCCAUGUGUAUACAUAUUUAUUUUGUUAGUUUAUAUAAUCUGUUCAAUAUGUACAAUUAUUUUGUUCUUUAAGUUCGUCUCAGGCGUGCAUAUCUGAAAAAUUUGUCAACUUGAUGACUAUUUUGUGCGACACGGUUAAAGUUUUAAAUCUUUCAAUGUAAUAUACUAUUGUUUGUAUGUUUUUAUUCACAUCACAGAAUCAUUUAUUGUUGAUAUUUAAUAUUUUAUUUUUUAUAAUCAUUUGUUGAUCAUUUUGUUUCUACGAAAUAAUAGCUCAAUUAUUUGUUCAAUUAAUAUUUCAUAUUAAAAAAUAUUUUUAAAAAAAAUCAUCCAAAAAAAUAGUCAAUUGGGGUUUUAUUUUGAAGAUCCUACCCUAAUAAAUCUAUUGGUGUAAUCAGAAUUUAAUUUGGAUGUUUGGUUUGAGAUAUAUGAUUUUUUUUAGAUUUGAAACUGCUUGCAUGUGGUAUGCUGGUAUGAUGUCAUCGGUUUUGUAAUUUAUGCAUGCAUGCAACAGGAUGAAAACCAUAAUCGAAAUCUCAUUUACGUGGCACGUUUUCUAAUCAUUUCCGUAUAAGUGAUAUCAUUUCUGACCAUUACCGUAUUUAAAUAUGAAUUUUUAGGAUUUCUUUUAUUACUAGGUGUGUGCCCAUGCGUUGAUAUGGGCAUAACGAAUUUUCGCUAUGAGCAUUAAUAUCAUACAAAAUAUUUGUAAUGAUAUGGAGAUAGAUGCUGUUCUAUGUACAUAUUCCAAAAUAUGCAUACGAAUUACUAGGUAUCUUGCAUGUAAACACAAUAUAACUUGGUGGAAAUUCAUCAGCUUCCUUUCGCUCCACUUGGACUCCCUGUGCGCCUCUGUUGUCGGCCUGCUUCUAUCGCCUAGUCGCUGGUAAGGUAGUCUCACUGUAGCUUCACGUUGACGUGCUACCAGCGGCAACCUCCUCGACACCACAUCUUGCCACCAUAACAUCUGCAUCAUCGCCCCCUCCUAGCAUUUACUUAGAUCAUUAAGUCUGUUUCAUAUUAGAUCGACAAAUUCAUUCCAACAUGUUAGCAAUCUUAUUAGUAAGCACUCAAUAUUUUGCAAGCAUCAUGAUGGAAUGAAUUUAAUGCACGGCAUGAUCUGUUAUAGAAUGAAUUUAAUCUCCCUUUUUCAAAAGAUAGUGUCCCUUCUGAAUUAUAGGGAAGUCGUUGACCCUUUUAGUUACCAUUACCCAACUGGCAUGAAAUGAAUUUAGAGUUGUACCUUAAAAACCCAGCCCUAAAAUUUCUCUCUCUAACAUACCAGCUUUGGAAGUUUCAUCAACCUGCAAUACAUUAUAAAUACAUAAUGUGUGGCGUGUUUUUGGCACUCUAAAAAUCAGAACAUAAGCUCUUUUGUGGUCUAAGCUUGACAUGAUGCAUUAGAUAGGAGCAUGGCAGGAGCAGGGUGAAGAGCUAAUCCCAACGAUCAGCACACCACAAAUUCUCAAGCUGAAAAAUGCAAAAUAACUGAAAAAUAUGAGCUGUAUCCCCGGAAUUUUACAAAACUAGAACACCUAUAUAGUUCUAAGCACGAUUCUCCCAUCAGCUUAUCACCUUCUAUCUCGGCGUGGCAGGUCUCGUAGGCGCAAGGAAGGGAGCAUUGCAUCAGUAAAAGGAGUUGCAAGUGGAACUGGGUUACAUACGUGCAGACAGAUAACAAUAAGAAGGCCAUCCAUCAUACCUGCUGUGCAUCAUGAGCAACUUAAUCUCAGCAUGUCAAGAUUAUGCAGUGUUUUUAUGAAAAUCUGUGAGAGUGCAUCAUACACCUUUCAAUCGUAUUUCUUCUUCAGAAAAAUCUUAUAGGAGAAAUGUAUGCAGGAGUUUGCACGGUAGAUUGGCUGACAGUGUAACUGCAACGCAAAAAGGAGUUAUAAGCAAAGCGACAGUUUCAAGGAGACUUUCCCGCAAUAACAUUAUUGUUGCUACUGAAUAAUUAAAUAGUGAAAUCGGCAAAAUUCCCGAUCAAUUGCAAUAGUUUCCGUAGAUGUUUUCAUCCCAGGUCAUGCACUGGAACAGUGAGACUGUAGCAUGCGAUGGCUGUAUUUUUUUCAAGGAACAGGAGGGGUUACUGAUUAGAUAUAUAUUAAAAAAAUAAACUAAAUAAAGUUACAAAAUAACUUCUCCUAAGGGUCUGAAGAAAUAAAGAAAGAAACAAACUGGGCUGUAAUUUUGUUUCCUCUUGUAAUUGGUGGGCUGCUCAUCACAAUCUUUUCGGUGACAGUAGGCGGCAUGUAUACACGCCCCGCGCUCUCCAGGCAAGAGCGACUCCACGUGCUGUAACGUUUUCCAUUUUAGCCUCCCUUUGGCACGGCUCAUCGAGCAGCUUCUCAAGCGGCUUUUGAUGAAGCCGUGCCAAACGGCAUGAGCGAAAACGGCUUCAGGGGAGAAGCUCCCGAAAUCGCGCUGAGAUGAGCCAUCGCACGGUAUGAGAGCCAAAAAAAACUGGCUCCGAGAGCCAAAAAAAAUUGGCUCAUCACGGCUUCUCCUCCAUACAUGGACAUGCUGCCCCAAAGUACCCCUCCUCCUCGUACCUGGAGGGCGGCGGCGGCGACGCGCUCUCCUCCUCGUACCUGGAGGGCCAGGUCGGCGGGUUGGCGGCGGAGGGAGCCAGGGCGGUGGGGUGGCGGCAGAGGGGCGGUGGCGAAGGGAGCUGGGGCCGACGAGGUAGCAGCGGAGGGUCGGAGGAGGAGGGUCGGGGCGAAGGAGCGGGUGCCGUUCGGAUAAGGAGAGAGGAGGGGGGAAAGAAAAGAAGGGAAGAAGUCGAUCGGAUAAGGAGAGAGGAGGGGGAAAAAGAACAGGAGAAGGAAAAGAGAAAUAAAAAAGGAAAGAAAAAUGAUGAGAAAAUGAAAAUGAAAAGAGAAAAAAAUAUAAGGGUAGUUUGGAUAUUUGACAUCUCAUUUCCAAUCUAAAACGUUAGGAGAAGUUGUUUUGCCAAACGUUUUCCUACUAAAUAAGUCAGAGAAAAAAAGUUGAUUUUCCAAAUAAGGUAGAGUAACUAUUUUUUCACGUGUCAAAGUCGUGCCAAGCGGACCUAGAACCCACGUGGACGACGUCAUCGUCGAGGAAGGUGGGCCUCGGCCGAACCUAAGCCAGAUUCAUGCUUUCGUUCGUCGCUGCCCCGAUUUAAAGCUGCGGCGGGGCCUACGUGAUGAUCCUGAACUGAACUCGAAUCGCAAUCACCUUUUCAGUGCUUCGCAGUUCAUCCUCUACUCCUCUAGGGUUAAUAAAUUCCAAAUCGAAGCGAACAGGAAUACUACAGGAUAAGCUUCCCAUCCUGCCGAAUUCCAGCUCAUGAGUUCGGUUUCAUCCCGACCGAAACUGCAAGACCCUCUUCUCUUCCCCUGCGGUCCGCGGACAGUCCAACCCGAAUCAGGCAGAGGCAACGAGGCAUGAGCGCCCACCGCUCCAUCGAUCUAUCUAUCUAUCUCUCUCUCUCUCUCUCCCUCCUCGAGCGGCUCGCGAUCGGCGAUGGGGGGAUGCUGCUGCUGCUUCCUCGCUCACAAGCCGCCGCGGGAGAACCCGAUGCACUCGUCCCGGGAGCCGCUCAUCUGGAGCGGAUCGGGCGCUGCCGGCCACCACCACCACCCAGCUCAGAUGGUCACCUACAGCGAGGCCAGUCCCCGAUUGCUGCAAUUCUCGUGUCGCCCGGCAGCAUUGUGUUGUUUCCCUUUCCCCUUGUUGUCUGACGGCUGCUGCUGAUGCUGCUGUGUGCACUGCAGGGGUUGGGUGCUGCAGAGAGAUUGAGGGCUGGGUUCAGGACGUUUAAGAGGACUAUUUAUGAGUGAGUAUGAUCUGACGCUCGAGGAAUUCUGUUUCUGGGUUGAGUUUGUUCCUGAUUCAGUUCGUUCUUUUUUGGUGGUGGCUGUUGGCAGUAAGAACCCCAUGCUGUUCGGGCCGCUCAAGUCUGCUCAGUCCCCAAAGGUAUGCACCAUCAAAUUGAUGCAUGAAAAGCCCUACAUUUGGUUGUUCAAGUAUAUUUAGGGUGUGAUCAUGCAUAGUGUAUAUCUGUUAAGCCUAGCUCGCUGGUAGUUUUUGCAAGUAGAGUUUUUUUUCCUAAAAAAAUGGAACUGCCUGUUUGGUAGACGUGAAUAGUCUGCUAUUACUUCUGCUUGUUGGUUGUUCAACCCACACUGCUUGUCGUCAUAGAAAAAUCUAUUGAAGAGAGUCUGAUUAUUAUUUUUUAAAAAAAAACUCUAGGUGUUGAAUUAAUUAUGUUCUAGAAACCAAACUUAUGGUCUCAUGCUUCUGUCACUGUUUUAUAGUGAUGGCCGUUUAGGAAAUCUCAUCAAUUGAUGCUGCAUGAAAAAUCAAAAGCAGAAAUUAAUCUGAAAUUCUUCAGUUAAGAAGAAAUUUGUCUUUACAAGAAAGGGCAAUAUAGCUUACUUCAGUUUUGGGGCAGUUUGUGCUGGACCAGCACCAAUUUCUUCAAGCAAAAUAGGUUUCAAUGUCUCAUCAUAACAUAAAUGAGUUGUCCUGGGCAUGUCAGUCUAAAUAAAAUACGUGUACUUUAGAUAUAUUGCACUUUGCAUCCAUCCCACGGGGCCAAAUCACAAAGCAUGGUGAUCCUCGUGCUGCUCUUGUACAACAACAAGAGUUCCAAGUGAGAGCGACAAAAGCUGAUUAUCAUCUAAAAUGCAAUUUGUGUCCAUAUUUCCCCAUCACCUGGUAUCCAAGCUCUUUAUGUGUUAAGAAAACUCACUGUCUUGAGGAUCGAGGACAUGUUCUUGCGGUUGGAGCAAUUUGCAAAAGCUGGGCCUCCAAAUACACAACACAAAUACGCUUGUGAUAUAUCUGUAAGAUGAGGCAAAUUGGUCUUUUCUUUUCAAGCUCCCAUCAUACAUAUCUUUACAUAGAAUCCACUAGGCCAUGUGUUCCUAGGUUAGUUCGCGGUUCAUAUGAUUUCAUUAUUGUCAACAUAGGAGGCCUGCACUAGCUUAUUGUCUGGAGGUAACCUACUGUCUUUGUGAGGUGGAACUUGAAACCAGGAGCUCUAGCAGAAUAACCAAGGACCGUAACAAUUUGCAUACUUUUGAUUGGUAUCAGUACUAUAUUCAUUCAGGUUGGCACACUUCUGAUGAUGAGAAGGAAAUGCAUAAAAGCACAGCUUCAUGCUGUUUUGUGUCUUCUUAUUGGCAUUCCUGCUUGUUUUUCUUGCCCGUCUUUGUCAGACUUCAUUCCUUUACCAUGCAACAACUUUGAUUGAUUUUCUGAAUAUGUUAGGCAGGAGGGAACAUGGAUAGUUCCACUUUGUUCUCUUGCGCUCUUUUCAGCAAAAACUGUGCUUCUAUUAUACCAAGGGUCUUUUUUCUCUGGCUUAAUGGUUAAUCUGUUCUUGCUUGCAGUACAUGGUGUUUGCGUGCUCUGACUCUCGUGUAUGCCCAUCAGUGAUCCUCGACCUGAAACCAGGAGAUGCCUUUACUGUCCGUAACAUUGCCGGCCUUGUUCCGGCCUACCAUCAGGUUCAUGCUUGUGGAGAAUAUUUUUCACAUUUUAAUUUCGUGAACUAAUAACUUUGGCCUGCACAUUUGAAGGUAUAACCAACUAACUUGCAGAUUCAUGUCUGACCACAGAAUAUGCACUCCAGCGUUGCUUCAGCCAUUGAGUUUGCUGUGACCAUCCUCAAGGUGAACUUCCCCCGUUUGACUUAUAGCACUCUUCUCUCCAACUCUCCGAACAUCCAUUUAAGUUUGGGGUCAAUUUUGUCAGUGAAUUGUAAGAAAAACUAAACAAAUAGCACAUAUGGCCAAUCAAAUUAACUGUUUGCACAGCAGGAUACUGUUGCAAUCCUCCCUAAUAGUUAGCAUGUUUUAAGAAGGUAAAUAUUGUUUAUCAUGUGUUGGUGUUCUAGUAUGGUAGGUUCAUAGCUUUUUUAUUUAGAAUCGUUAUGGUUAGUAUACCUACAUGUGUUUUCUUAACUCACUGUAAUCUGUCCACAGGAACAGAAAAGUUCUAGAAUUCAACAAUAUUGGCAGCUAUACUAUGUGCUCACAUAAUCUUGCCUUCUACAAAUUAUCAGAGGCGUGAUUUUCUUCUUACCAUGAAAGCACUACUUGAUACACGCUUUUGCAGGUUAAGUGCAUUGUGGUUAUUGGUCACAGCUGCUGUGGUGGAAUCAGGGAACUCCUCUCUCUGAAGGAAGAUAGACCUCAAACCUAGUAAGUAAUUGUCUUAAUCUUGCUCCAAAUUGAUCUGUCUCCUUUAUCUUUAUUUUACUGGUAAAAACAAAACAUGUAUAGCUGUAUAUGACAAAGAGGUCCAAGCAAAUGAGUUAGUUAAAACUUGACUCAAGCAGUUUGUACAGUACUAAUAUCUAAAGCUUCUAUGACAUCGUGUCUUUCACUCUUGUUCUAAUAAGUUGUCCUCUUUUCAUUUUAUCUCUUAGCCACUUCAUUGACAAUUGGGUCAAGAUCGGUCUGGCUAUCAAGAAAAAGGUGGAGCGAGAACAUGCCUUAUUGUCUUUUGAUGACCAAUGCACCAUGUUGGAAAUUGUGAGUAUUAAAAAAGUUGGUUUUCAGUACUUCAGUUUGGUGAUUUAUCUCACUGCUAACCACAGUGACUGAAAUUUCCCACAUGUACUAGUAGUUGUUUCCCAAUCAGAUUAGACACUGAUGUGGCAUUGUUUGCAUUUCUGAAUGCUGUGCAGGAGGCCGUCAAUUUGUCCCUUAGAAACCUGACGACCUACCCAUUCGUCAAGGACAAAUUGGGCAAGGGAACGCUCAAGCUGAUUGGUGCUCGCUACGACUUUGUCCAUGGCAGCUUCCAGACGUGGCAUGCCUGACAGCUGAGGUUAUGAAAAUGGCGCCAAUGUGUGUUGUAUAUAAAGAGUUAUCGACGUGGCAUUGCUCAGUAUGCAUGCAAAGGUGUUCUUUGUUUCAAGUUGAACAGCAAGUACAAGGGGGUGCGAUUCUAAUGUGCUGUGUGCACUCCAUACUUUGUAUUACGGGUGUAGAAAAAUAUUUCUACUCACGCUGGAGAUGAAAACUUGGCCCCGGUGUGCAGUUUUUAAUGGAUUCGGAACGUGUCUGAUUAAAGCUUGAUCUAUUUUUAGGGAAACUUUCAGGCCAGUCCCUGUUAUUCUGGAGAAGUUUUUACAUGUACGUGAUAACGUGAAUCCCAGUUGUCCGUGUCCACAUCUGGAGCAAGGUAAAAUGCUGUAUUUGAAAAGCGUGGAUGUGAGCUAAUACCUCUGGAAAAGCGUGGAUACUUGCUCAGGCAAGUUCUCAAAAAGAAGAAGAAGAAGAAGCUAGUACCUCUUGGCAAACUGGCAACAGAAACUUGUGAACAACCUGCAUGACUCGGUGCUGUGUUCAGCCUGACCUGAUUGGAUGCAUAUCCCAAUCGAAUUGGCUGAACCGAUUUGGUAUUUUCGCAGCCAAAGGUUGCCGCAGCUUAUAAAUUUUGGACAUCACCUGAGCUGCCCUGCUUCUACGGCAGGCUUGCAGCGGGUCGCAAGGCGGACCAGGAUGCUCGUGCUCGACGUCUGGACACGUCACGGCUACGCUGAGCGAUGACAUAUUGGCAUAUUGCCGCGGCCAGCCGUUGCUCUCUGCGACAGGGUGACCGUGCUGCCGUCGUGCGGAACCUCCCUCAUCUGCGGCAGGGCGGUGCGCGAGCUGCCAGUGCGGCAGUGCCCAGUGCCUCCGAUCCGCCGGAGCGCGGCGCGCCGUCGCGGCUCCCAAAGUUGCCUUUCGCUCGGCCAACGCAAAGGGGGAAACAAAUACACCAACCAGAGAACACGGCCGCAUAUCCCGGCGUUUCCUUUCGCGUCACAGCGUUUAGAACUUAAGCGGAACAAACACCACACGCAUGCGCCCGCGCGCUCUUCCCUCCUCGCCGCCCGUCUCCGCUCCUCCUCCGCCUCCCACCGAUGCGGCCACCGCCGCACCUCGCGGCCCCCUCCGCCGCCGCACCCUCGUCCGCCGCCUCCCACACCGGGCCGUCCCGGCGCCGGCACCGCCACCGCGGCGCGACGACGACGUCCUCCGUCGCCUGCUGCCGCGUCGCGGCGCUCGCGUGCCUCCUCGCGGCGGGCGCGGCCACGGCGCUGCUCACCCUCUCCCUGCCCUCCACGCCCGGCGCGUCCACCACAACAACAACUGACUUCACCGUACGAUUGUCAGUCGCGAACCAGCCGCCGCCACCAACGCAUUUGCCAGCGCCUCCGGCACCCGCCACGCCGCCCCCUCCGCCGCCGUCCCCGCCCGCCGUGAGGCGUCGAAAGCGAGAGGUGAGGCAGAGCUGGCGUGUUCCAAGAGUCAGUUUCUUCGCUCGUAGUGAUCUCAAUCCAUUCGCGUUCGCCCGUGUUGUUUUUUGGAUCAGCCGUCGUACUGGAGGAUGGCGCCGGAGGAGGCGCUUCGGUACGCCAAGAGGGAGAUACGCGACGCUGAGCCGGCGCUCGACGACCCUGACCUGUACGCGCCUCUGUUCAAGAACGUCUCCCAGUUCAAGAGGUAAAACCGGCGGUUCUCAUCCAAGCAAUUGUGGACGCAUGCGGUGCUUCUUCCCUUCCUCCGAAAAUGGAGGAGCUUCCAACUUUUUCGCGUGUUUUUUUGGCAUGUUCCUUGCAUAAUCGACGCCUGCUAUUGAUUCCAUUUCAUGUUGCCAUUUUUUGCAAAACAUAUCGUGAAUGAACUUUAAAAUUUUCUACGGAUUGCGGCAUUUUGUAUCCCGUGCAUUGACAAAACGCCUAUCAUAAUUGUAGCAAAUGUGAUCAUCAUCCAGGAGCUAUGAACUGAUGGAACGGAUACUCAAAGUUUACAUUUACCAGGACGGCCGGAGGCCCAUCUUCCACACGCCCCCGCUCAGCGGCAUCUACGCCUCCGAGGGCUGGUUCAUGAAGCUCCUCAAGGAGAGCCGCCGGCACGUCGUCGCCGACCCCAGCAAGGCGCACCUCUUCUACCUGCCCUACAGCUCCCAGCAGCUGAGGCUCACGCUCUACGUGCCCGACUCCCACGACCUCAGGCCGCUGUCCGUGUACCUGAGGAACUUCGUCAGAGGCCUCGCCAACAAGUACCCCUUCUGGAAUCGCACCAGAGGGGCCGACCAUUUCCUCGUCGCCUGCCACGAUUGGGUAAUACAUUAUAAGCUAAGCUCUCUCGAUCAAUACCACUAGAAUUCGAUCAAGCUCAAGAACUGAUCAUCUGAACGUGACCAUUACGUCUUGGGUUCUUGCAGGGACCUUACACGGCGACCUCGCACCGCGACCUCCGUAAGAACGCCAUCAAGGCGCUGUGCAACGCCGACAGCUCGGAGGGGAUCUUCACCCCGGGGAAAGAUGUCUCCCUGCCGGAGACGACCAUCCGGACGCCGAGGCGGCCUCUCCGGUACGUGGGCGGGCUGCCGGUGUCCCGUCGGGGCAUCCUGGCCUUCUUCGCCGGCAACGUGCACGGCAGGGUCCGGCCGGAGCUCCUCAGGCACUGGGGCGACGGGCGGGACGACGACAUGAGGGUGUACAGCCUGCUGCCGAGCAGGGUGUCCCGGCGGAUGAGCUACAUCCAGCACAUGAAGAACAGCCGCUUCUGCCUGUGCCCCAUGGGGUACGAGGUGAACAGCCCCCGGAUCGUGGAGGCGCUCUACUACGAGUGCGUGCCGGUGAUCAUCGCCGACAACUUCGUGCUGCCGCUGAGCGAGGUGCUGGACUGGAGCGCCUUCUCGGUGGUGGUCGCCGAGAAGGACAUACCGGACCUCAAGAGGAUCCUGCAGGGGAUCCCGCUCCGGAGGUACGUGGCCAUGCACGGCUGCGUGAAGCGGCUGCAGCGGCACUUCCUGUGGCACGCCAGGCCGAUUAAGUACGACCUCUUCCACAUGAUCCUGCACUCCAUCUGGUUGAGCAGAGUGAACCAGGUGGAGCUCGACGGCUGAAUUAUAGAAGACAUCGCUUAGGUUCUUGAGAUGCUUGUUGAGAGAUAUUUUUAGGGAUCGUCCCUUGAUUGAGCUUGGUUCAGUACAAAGUCUGUAAACAGAGGCAGGCUACAUUUCUUGGCAACUUCACUGCACCAAAAAAGGAGUGUCACAUGCAGCCGAGCUGCAACAGAACGACAAGGACGUAUCAUCUGACGUGCGUAGCUCGAUCUGACGUAUUACAGCGCAAUGACCGGUUAAGCACAGAAAAUUGACAUUGGAGAUGGCUGACAUGAACUAGUAGUAUAGAAACCUCUGCUGCUCUGCAUUCUAUAGCCCCUGAUAAAGCGUACUAAUUGAUGGCCCAGUACCAAAAGCAGCGUGUCGGAUGUAUACCUCCGGCUAAUCCGCAGCAAUAUUUACUCCAAAAUUGUACAACCGGUACUGGAUUCCAACAAAUCAACAAUGGCAUGGCGCGAUCACCCUACCCUGUCAGGCUCAGACCAUGCUGAAGAGAUUGGCCGUGGAGAUGAGCGCGUUGAGAGCGAGCAUGAGGAACCCGAUGAACGACAGCCACAGGGCGCUGCUGAUCUUCCUGUUGAAGGCGUCCGUGCCGAACCUCGACACCCACAGGUCGUUGCGAGACGCGGCCGCCGACGACGCCGACAUCAGGAGGUACGCCAGAACCUGCGGCAAGCGGCACGUCGCCGAACGAAGCACCAACGGGUUCAGUCAGUCGAGUCCCUUGUACAUGAGCGGUUUCAGUUCAGGAAUGAGUGGGGGCGGCGCACUGCACUUGCCUGGUCCAGGAACAGGCUGCAGUAGUAGCUUGGCCUGCUCCGGAAUAUGAACGUGGGUGAGAUCAGGCGGCGGAUCUCGCCGAAGGAUUGCGCGAUCGAGUAGGCGCAGACGAUCACGUUCACUGCGACGGCGUACCUGCCAUGAAUUUGCCAAGAACAGGAAUGUAACUUUAUUACUUUACCUUGAGAGAAUGAAAGAAGGGAAACAUCUGAUGAUCUGAAUGGACCGGAUACGAACUUGAACUCGACCAAGUGGUAUGUUAGGUAGAUAGAUAGUUUUUAGGUUGCUAGUUUUUAAAAUAUUCAAAAUCAUUACCCAGUUGCUCGAUUUGGUCCGAUGUGUUGCGCUCAGUUUAAUUUUCUUUUAUUUUCUUCUUUGUUUUUAAGAAAGAAAAUAUUCUUGUACGAGCACAACUCCCGUAACCGUCAGCAACCGGACACGUCCGACGAAACCGGCAAAAAGAAACCGCGGGAGGAGACGGAACGUGUGAGCAAGUGGCGAUCACUGACCUGUACUGCUGGUGGCGGGCGUGGGAGUCGCCGGCCCACCCGGACGUCCGGGCGCUGGCGAUGACUGAGAAGGCCGCGAGGCUGAGCGCCGCCGUGGCCAGCCGCAGCGUCACCGACAGCGGCCUCCUCUCCCCGACCGCGGCCACGGCCGCCACGUCGGGGGGCACCGAUCCCCCGUUCUCCGCCGCCGCCGCCGCCGCGUGCUGCUGUCGCUGCUGCUGGCGGUGGUCGAGCUGCGGCUUGCCGAGGCGCAGCGGCGACGUGACUGCCUCCUCUGCGGGGUCGAAGUGUGGCACCGCGAUCGCCGGUGCGGCUGCAGGCGACAGCGGCGGCUUCCAGGUCUCCGCGCGCUGCUUGGGCGUGCUCUGGCCGCUCUUGUUGUUGAUGUUGGCCGCGGGCGCCGGAGUCAGCGGCGAGGGCGGCGUGGGCGACGGCGACGGGGACGGGGACUUGGUCGCGAGCGACCCCUGCGACGGCGUCCGGAGGAGCCCCGUCGCUAGGCGGAGCUGCGGGCGGGCCGGCGCCGCAGCCCCCGCAGCGCCCCCUUCUUGCCCGUUCUUGGCGGAGGGGGAGGCGGGCGGCGGCAGGAGGUGCGGCGUGGGGAGGCGCACGGGCGAGAGCGGCGGGCUCUUGGCGGGCGCCCCACCUCUCCCGUCGCGGGGCAAGCUGGCCUGCUCCCGCGGCGACGCGUCGAGCGACGGGCUCCUGGUGGGCAUUCCUCCUCCCCUCCCGUCGCUGGGGAAACUUGCCUGCUCCCGCGGCGACGCGUCGAGCGACGGGCUCCUGGUGGGCGUUCCUCCUCCCCUCCCGUCGCUGGGGAAACUUGCUUGCUCCCGCGGAGACGCGUCGAGCGGCGGGCUCCUGGCGGGCGCCCAUCCCUUCCCGUCGCUGGGCAAGCAGGCCUCCUCCCGCGGCGACGAGUCGAACGACGGGUUCCUGGUGGGCGUUCCUCCUCCCCUCCCGUCGCUGGGGAAACUUGCCUGCUCCCGCGGCGACGCGUCGAGCGACGGCGGCGGCGUGUGGUACUCCUCCCCGGGCUGCGACGAGGGCGACGGCGACAGGGGCGUCUCCAGAGGCGGAGGAGGAGCGGGAGCGGGCACGGGCGGCGGCGGCCUCUCCGGCGCCGGCGUCCGUGGCGUCGACGGCAUGGUGCGACACCGCGCGCGGCGGGUGGACGGGUGGAAGGAAGGGAUCAAGCGAGGAAGGGUCAGGGGAGGAGUGGCCGUGUUAUGUAUGUGAGGUUACGUGUAGCUUUCCCAUGUUUAUGCGCUUCCUUCCUUCCGUCGCCGGUCGCCCCCCCUAUCUCUCCCUCCCUCGCGCUUUGCUCUGCAACCUUUUCACCGCCGCCGAUCCAUCCGUUGCUGCCUCCGCGCAGAGCACUCCAAGCCGCAGCAGCAGUUAGCCAGUUACAAAUUACAAUCUUGUCAGUGGCCGCAGAAACGGCGUUGUGCCGUGCCACGCCAAUAAAACCGAACACGAUCAUCUCGAUUGCGUCGGGAAUCAUGGCCGUUCCCUUUCCCCUGAUUUCGGGUUCAUGCAAGGUGACACGGAUCGAGGGGAGGAGACACAGGUCAAUUAGAAACGUUGGUCGCGACAUCAUGCUUGAUUUUGCUGGGCUGGCAUCGCAGAAUCAUGGCGCGAUGGCCAUCCUAAAAAAUAAUUGCGGUGUCCACGUCGUCGGUUGGCGACUGGGAACCGUCUUUGCUGGGGCACACAAAUGGGCAGUCAACCUAUCAUAUUCUUGGCGGCUCUUGUUUCGUUUGCACAAGUUGGAGAGGGAGUAGGGUAGGGCGGAAGACCUAUCUGGAAAUACAGGCAGACACCAUGCAUGAUCAUCCAGCUUAAUCGAACCGCGUCAUCAGCAAAUGAGGUAGUUGUCGAUUCCCUUUUGCUGGCUUCACAUGAACGCUACGGAGCUUGAAAACAACAUCUGUCUUGCAGAACCCCACUGGUCUUCAAUUUCUAACACCCAAGUAGCAUCAACUACCAUAUUCUUGGGGGAACAAAACAUAUCUGCACAGGAACACAGCAUAUAUGCAGGAAUUAUGUAUAGGUGCCUUGAAUGAGGUUUCGUGGAGGAUCUUGGGCCAUGAAAAGGAUGGGGCUACGCUAAUUUAGGCACAAGAAAAGAAUUAGGUUCAAAGUGGGACCUGAUGUUAGAACGUCGCAGCCAGCGCAUUGCUAUCGUCGCGAGGCAGCAGAAUAUUCUCACUAAUUCACAUGAAUUUCGAACGCGACGAAUUCACAUGAAUUUCGCAGAACAGCAGUUCGUUUUACACGUGAACGUGUCGUGUGCAAAUAUGUCUCCAACUUGACAAAGAUUUCCCACGAAAGAAAAACAAAACAAAAGCAUCAUUCAGUCAGCCAGUAAUGCACUAGUGCUGCGGCGGAACGUGGAAUAUCCGGGGCUCCCGGUAAAGGCAGAGCGCGAGCGUGUAGCGUGUCUACCAGUUCGGCAGCAGCUUAGUGCUAAAGACGCCCAUGAUGCGCAGCGUGAUGGAGUUGCUUUUGGGAAAAGGAGGCGCUUUGAUCCGGUGGGGGCUUGUGCUAGAUUUUUCCGCUUUCCUUUUUUUCCCCUUUACCUUCUAGGGUGGCCAGGUGAGUUGGUGCCAUGCACACCUUAGUGGUUAAGGUAUCUCACUCAGGCAAGCCAAACCUUGUAGGCCUUCAGAUUCUUUUCUGCCAUUCCUGAUCACCGAUCCAUAGAAGCUUUUCGAAUCACCAGUAACAACAGAAUUUAGCUUUGGCGACUCAGAUCGCAGAAUGAGCUACGCGGAAACGCCAAAUGUCACGAACCCAAAGCUGCACGACGCAAUGCUUUGUAGCUUUAAGCUUUCUUGAGCCGCACGGCGUUGGUAAGGUAUCAGAGUGCAAACUGCAACAACUUGCUACUCCCUCCGUUCCUCCGUUCCAAAUUGUAGAUCGUUUUAGCUUUUAAGGUUUAUAAAUAUUAUUAAGCAUCUAGAUACUGUGUACGUCUAGGUGCAUAAUAAAAUCUAUGAACCUAGAAAAGUUAAAACGACCUACAAUUUGGAACGGAAAGAGUACAAUCUUAUAUGCUGAACCAGCUGCGAGAAAUACCCAGUUUAUAAUAUUCUUAUCAAAUGCUCGAUUAGGAUACAGUGAUACACCACGAGUCAGCAGAAGCAUCACCAUGUCAAAAUGUGUUCUUACGUAUCCAGGCUCAGAUGAAGACCAGGUUCAGAUGAAGACCCACCACGUUGAUUAAAUUUCGCGAAAUCAGAGCAGUCUCCAGAGAUGGCAUAACUUCAACUUACUACACCUGCAUCAUCGAAUCUUCAUCCCGGACCAGUUACUUGUGUUCAUCAAGUUGCUAAUGACUGUACUGUUUAGCAUCACAAGGCGACCUGAAAUUUCUCGGGUACACGGAGCAGAGGUAGCUGAUAGUCUCCAGGCUCUCCUAGCUGCCCGCACGCAGCCAUUUGAUCAUCCCCUCUGCUGAGCCGAACAAAAACUAUAAGGCCACCUUGAAUUAAAACAUUGCGGAACUCGAGUAUCUUCUCAUCGGGUGUGGGCUUGAAUUGGGAACCACUGUGGGGAUUGAAAGAAAUGAGGUUGAUCUUGCAAGGGAUCCCUUGGACAAGCUCUAUAAGCCUCUUCGCAUCAUCCAUACUGCAAGGACAGUUAAUCCAGCAGAAAGUGUCCAAUUUAGGUCAAGCAGAAACUUAGUUAACUGUGAUAACUUCAAAAAGGCUCAUACUGAAAAGGAUUCAGUUUGCCUAUGGAUUAAUGGUAACACUAGGUUAAUACAAAAAAGAAAAAGAAGAUCCAAUGUUUCAAUUCGUCUACCAAGCUAAUGAUUACAAAAACAACAUGAACUACAGACUGUGACUACUGACUAGUAGGCCUAAAUGUAUGGUUUGACCAAAUAGGAAAAGAAAAGCUUUCUGACUAAAAGGAAAAACGUCGGCCUUUUGCAAGUGUUAAAGAAAAAUGCAUGCAGACCUUGACACUUAACAGAAAGGGGAUUUUAUAUGUAACCUAUGCUAGUAGAUUCAUGAUAUACCACUAAGCCCCCAUAGGCGGAGAAUUAAGAUACUGCUUAACAGAAAGGGGAUUUAUAUGCAACCUAUGAUAAUAGAUUCAUAAUAUAUGACUAGACAGAUAAAGUAGGCAAAGACACUCUUCAGCAUAUUUCUCACCUGUCGUUCACUCCAGAAAGCAUGACAUAUUCAAAUAGAACUCUGUAAUUCUUUCUGAGGCAGACUUCCUCCCUUAAGGUGCCAAGAAGCAAGUUAAGAUUGUACUUUCUGUUUAUGGGCAUUAUCCAGUUUCUAACCUGCAAAACAAGUUUAUUUACAUAUCAGCAAAAAAAAAUGGCAAACCAAAAAAAAA